CAGCCAGAAGUCCAAUUUCCCUGGGUAACAAACUUAAAUCCAGGAAGACAAGUACAUUCAGCUUCCUUAUCCUUCAGAACACAAUAUCCAUUAAGACCACAUGAUCCUUUCGGGUCGCACUUGUUGCUUGUGGAUCAUGACCACAUAUCUGACCAGUUUCCAUUCCGUGUCAGAUUUCGUGAAUAUAAUCUGAAAAUCCCAUCAGCAUCAAGUUUCAUCAUAUUAAUUGUUUCUUUCGUGGGAUAUCCUCCAGCUGUAAUGUUUUUUAUGUUGAAACCUGUGGAAUUGAGCAGGUAGAGACGGCCAUCCGGAUCAAGAUUUAGGGUCACAUUAUCUCCCUUCCCAUCAGUAAAAGAUGAAAAAUAAGAAUAUGGAGCUGUAUCUGGAGUAUUAACAGGAUACUGCACAAGGUUGCCAUCAUUUUGCAUCUUGAGUCGGUAAAUACCAGUUGAGAGUUCAGUUUCUGAAACAGGAGAAACCAGCUCUGCCCCUGCUCUGAGCUGUUGAGUUGGCAAAAGGGUAUCUGUUGGGUGGUCAAAACUCUGCCAUAUAAUCUCGCGAUCAGAAUUAUAUAGCACAAAGUUGCCUGAAUCAGACAUAGAAGCUAAAGAAGCUGGCUGGGAAGCAGAAACUAUCGGAGUCUCAUCCCCUUGUGCUGAUCUCAAGACAACCCUGCCAUCACUGGUGAAGAGCAAGGUCGCAUUACUGGGGACUGGGGCAUCAUCCCUUCUAGCAGCCCACACAACAGUCUCUAGUGAAAUCCCGGAUAGAAAAACCCCUAUAGAAUAGCCGUCGCGUUGUCGGAAAAAUCCGAAAGCAUAAAGACCGGAAGGUGACAACCAUGAGGAGUUUGUGAUAGGUGUUAGAGAAGAUCCGAGGGUUAUAUUGGUCUGUCUUUGAGCUGAAGCUGUAAAAGAUAAGGCGAGAAGAAGAAAAAAGAUGAUAGAAGCCAUGGAUAGGGAUUUAGCUCUUGUGUGGUAUGUGAGUGUCAAAAUAAGGAUGUCUAUUGUUCCAGCACUCCAUUAUCUUUCUGUGGUUUCCAGCAGUCAAGCCAGGCACUCAAAACAUAAAAGUCUAGCCAUAGAAUCCACCGCGUUUCCCUACCAAUUGGUGGAAAUUGUUGCUCUUAGUUUUAUGCUUUCAAAGUCACCGAAAAAACUUGGCAGUUACUUGGUGCUGGUCCACUUUUUUCAUCUUGGUAUCCCCCAUUUGAAAAGUCAUUUGCUAAUUUCCCCGGGACUAUUCUUGGUUCUAAUUUUCUGCAGCAGAUUCUUUUUUAUUUGUCAAGUACCAUUCAAUACGCUUAGAAGACACAAUCUUUAGCUUCCUGCAGACAGCUUCAACUAGUUAAGAAAUAUCGAUUUGGUGCCAAUGCUAAUACCCUGGCAUUAUACUAGGGCAAGACAGAACAACUUGCUAGCUUAUAGUCAUGUCCCUCAAAAGCUAAAGCCUAGCUAGCAACCUCAGUUUCUAACGAGAGAGCAUCUCUACAUGUUGCGUAACUAACAAUCCCUUGAAUAUUAAAACUGAAAAGUGGAACUCAUUGGACCGUUGAUUUUAUGACCAGUUCCACCGUACGACUUAAUUCAGAGUACAAUUGAGGUGGUCACGGCAAGGACCGGGUCAAGGGACAACCUAGCAUUUGCUGACCUGCUCUUCUCAGCUAAAGCUUCUUUUUUUUUUUUUUGAAAGAUGCGCAUAUUAUUUAAACGUCAAAGUCUGACGGGAAUAGAACAGAAGCUAUACAAUAUCUUACUAUGACAAAAAGCCAUAUAUAGGAUAAAGCGCAGCAUAAGAUAAACAAAAGCAAAGAAAACCACAAAAAAUCCAUCCGAAUGAGCUGAAGCUAAACAUUCCUCUACAAAACAAAACAAAAAUUACUCAAAGACAUAAUGGGAGAAGAAACAAUAGCAAGGCCAUAGAAAAAUGGUGAAUUCAAAGCCAGGCAACAAAUUCACUUGAUCUUCGCACUCCUUGUUUAGCCAAGUCAUCUGCCAUGCAAUUGCUUUCACGAAAGAUAUGUGAGAAGGUGAUUGAACCAAAAUAUGCUUUUAAUCUAUUAAAAAAGGAGAACAAAUUAUGAUGCUUCCAGGGACGACUGAGAGGAUUAUUCAUCCACAGAAUAACAUUGACCGAGUCAGAUUCGAUGAUGAGGUGUUGAUGGUGUAAGAGGCAAUUAGAUGCUGAUAGUUCAAUGGCUUUGACAAUAGCCCUUAACUUAGCAAUAUUAGAGUCUAAAAUACCAACUGGAACAGAGAACAUACCGAGCAGAUGACCAUGAUGAUUUCGCAACACACCACCUAUUCUAGAGGGGCCUGGCUUACCAAGAGAAGAGCCGUCCACAUUCCAUUUGAGGCUAUUAAUCAUAGGAGGAGACCAUAUAUUAUUAAUCCUGAAAGAGUGAGCAUUGGACCACCGAAGCAAGCCAUCUGCCGAUCUGAUUAGAUCUGUAGGGGAGUAUGGAAAAUCUGAAUGGAUAGCUUUUAGCCAUAGACAUAAACGGGUGAUAAUAAGAAAGAAUAUUGAGUCAUAGUCUGGUGUCUUCUGUUGGAAAAUCAGAUCAUUUCGAAGGAGCCAAAGAGACCAUGCCAUUGAGAAGAACAACAUCAACCAUGCCUUCCUCUGAAAAUUACCAUGCACCAUGGAAGACCAUUGAGACCACAUAUCUGAGAAGCUCUUUGGGCAACACCAAACUAAACCCCACCAUUUAAUGAUUUUGGACCAAAUGAGCCAAUGUUUAUGGCAGUGCAACAGAAUAUGGUCCACCGAUUCUGCUUCAACAAGGCAGAUAGGGCAAAGGGCAAUUUGAUUCCGAGCUACCCAAGAUACCUCUUCGAACCAACAUACAUCGGGUGUUGAGUCUGUUAAUGAUAGUCAUCUAGCAAAAGAUCUCUACCUUAAGAGGGACAAUACCUUUCCAAAUUCCAGCAAAUGAGAAGGCAUUGUUUGUGGAAGGCUUUGGACUCAACAAUACGCAGAGAGAUUUCAUUGAAAAUCUUCCUGAAUUAUUGUCCUUCCAAAUUAGUCUAUCCUCUCCAUCUUUGUCCAUGAGUACUAACGAAAGGAUUGCAUAGAGUUGAUCAAGCAAACCGAUGUUGCGCCCCCGUAGUGGACGUAUCCAUGAAAAAAACCAAAUCCAUUCAUACCCUUCCCACAUUCCCAUCUUAGCAAUGGUGCAGCUUUGUCAUUGGAUAAUUGUAAAAGAGUAGGGAAGUGAUCUUCUAAACAAUGGUUAUUAAGCCAGCAAUCAAGCCGAAACAUAGUUUUCUUGCCAUUUCCAAUAAGAACCAAAGAUUGCUCAUUCACAAUAUCCUGCAACUUAUUAUUUCUCACAUAAUGAUUGACAAUCCAGGACCAUGUAGUUGCAGUUCCUGGAAUAGGAGCUUGCAGCAGGAGAUUAGAGCAAUUGGUGUUGUGGAUGGUUUUGAUCACAUCCUUCCACAUACUUGAUUCCUCCAACCCAAACCUCCAUAACCAUUUAAAGAGCAGAACUUUAUUUUUGUCCCUUAAAGAACCAAUCCCAAGACCACCCGCAUGUUUUGGAAGAGUAACAGUUGCCCAGCUAACAUUGCAUAUUUUGUGCCUAGCUUCUUCUCUCACCAUCUUCAUGCCAUGGUUGCUGAUUGGAGGGGCUUUAUAAUUUAUUUAUUACAAUUGUGCUAUGAAAAAGAAAAAAAAAUGCUAUGAUAUUAAAAAAAAAAAGAAUUUCCUCGUAGCUAUGAUAUUUGUGAUAUUAAUUAUGUUACACUUGUGAUCAUGUUGAUGAGAAUAAUAAUAAAUUCAUAUAGUUUUAGUAAUGUUUAUGUUAGCAAGCAAUGCUACUGAAGGUGAAGAAGCUGUGACGAAGAUGAUGGUGAUGUAAUGGUAAUGACGAUUAAAGUGAUUGAAAAAUAUUUUUCUUUUGAUAAUUUAUUAGUAUAUAUAUAUUUCAAAUGUUUAAGAUAUUUUUCAAAUAAAUGUACCUUAACUAUGAUAAAUGAUAUAUUCUCCGUUUGUUUGCAAUUUGAUUGUAAAGGCUUCCUUUUAACAUAAUUCUGCUUGAUAUGCUCCAUGUAAUUACAAACUAAUUAGCUCAUUCUGGUCUUCUCACUUCUGGCAAUUAGUCAGUUUGAUGGCGGCUUGCAACAAUGUACUGUCACCAACCGUUGUAUUGGACUUCGAUUCACCGAUAAUGCCCUGCAACUGAGCUUGAGCGAAGGAAUGGACAUUUGCAUUUAGGCAAGGAAUUGCCUUGUAGAAUAGAAGAAGAAGAAGAAGAAGGGGGAAAAACAAGCAGAGAUCAUAAUCUCAUUAAUUCUAUUCUUCGUAAAGAGCUCACUCUUGAGAUAACAUAAGACCACCAAACGUUGUUUAUACUAAGAACACGUGAAGCUUUCAUGCUAACGUUUUCUUUUCUCCUCUUUAUAUACCUUUUUUCUUUUUCUUUUUUUUAAUAUCUAAGAUACGGUGGGAAACAACUUUAUUAACAUUAGAAGAAAAAUCACCAGGAAGCUCCUAAAUGCUGCGUAAACAUAUAGCAAUUUUAUAAAGAAAAGGAAUACAUGACCUGAAAAAUAAAGUACAACACUCUGCACAUGAAUCUCUUAUUCCGAACCACAAAACGCAGCUCAUAUAGCGGUAAAAAAAAGUAGGACUUGGAGGGAUUGGGAUUUCGACUGUCCCCUCCAAAAUCAUCAGGAAGCUCCUAAAUGCUGCGUAAACAUAUAGCAAUUUUAUAAAGAAAAGGAAUACAUGACAUGAAAAUAAAAUACAAUACUUUGCAGGUGAAUCCCUUAUUAUGAACCACAAAACGCGGCUCAUACAGCGGUAAAAAAAGAAGUAGGACUUGGAGGGAUUGGGAUUUCGACGGUCCCAUCCAACAUGAGGAGGACCUUUUUCAUUGAAGGGCGGAGGGAUGGCUCAUCAAGAGUGCACCAAAGUCCCACUUUAACCAUCCUAUCUAACUGUUUCUUUCCAACGACUUCUUCACCCACAAGUUUGUCCAUAUCACCGUCCUGAAAACAUUGAUAAACCCACUGUUCGAGAACAGCUUCAUCCUCUGGAAGACUCCAAUCCACAUUCUUUCGACAACACGUGAUCUCCAACAACAUAACUCCAAAGCUAUAAACAUCUGCUUUAACUGUCACCGGCAUAUUCCGGUGCCAUUCUGGUGCUACAUAUCCCCUCGUCCCUCUCAUUCCGGUGAAGGUUUUUGUUUGGUCUGACUUCAGAAUUUUUGCCAAUCCAAAGUCAGAAACUUUGGGGCACCUGCUUUCAUCUAUUAGUAUAUUCUGAGGUUUUAUAUCACAGUGGAUGAUCUGAGUGUCGCACUCCUCAUGUAGAUAAACAAUACCCCUUGCAAUGUUGCGAGCAAUUUCCAACCUUUCAGGGAAGCAAGGUCGUUUUUCAAGUGAGAAGAGUAUGUCAGCAAGGGAGCCAUUGCUCAUGUACUCGUAUACCAGGAGCCUGUGAUGUUCAUCAUGGCAAUAGCCGAGCAGACGGGCUAGGUUUCUUUGAUUUUUUUUGGAGAGAUAAAGGAGGACAAGAGAAAGUAUUGAAUGUGAGUGUUAUCAGUCAUUUCUUAUAUAUUAUAUAUAUGAGGGUGUAUAAAGGAAAUCCCCUCAGAUUCAGCCAAUAUUCAAAUUUCCCAGAUUCAGCCAAUAUUCACUUGCCUCUUGCCCAUGAUCCUGCAACCAUCAUUCAAGCAUAAUAUCAAGCUUGUAACGGCAGACAAAUCUUCAACGUAAAUGCAGUAUAAAUGUCAAGACGUAAUCUUAGCUUACUUUCUAAAUUCAAACCUGCAAAGCUGUGUAUAUAUAUGUUAACAAUUGUAUUACUCAAGGUGUGGCGAAAUAUACAAUUCUGAAGUUUAUCAAAUAGCUCAACUCUCUGAAAUUUCUUAUCUUCAUCAUGGUAUCAGAGCAACAAAUCUCCAACGAGAAUUUGAUCCCUCACAAUCCUAUCUCAACCCCAUCCUCUCCAACUGAAACACCUCUGAUUGCCCUCAACAUCACAUCCCAGAUAAAUGAUAAACUUACCCCCUCUACAUUCCUUCAAUGGCGCGCUCAGUUUGAAGCCUUACUCAUCGGGUAUGAUCUCCUUGAUUAUGUCACUGGAGAAAAAAUCUGCCCUGUAUCCACCAGCACAGCAGUCUGCGCCAUCCAACGAACACACUGGAUAAGGCAAGAUAAGCUUAUCCUCAGUGCCAUUUUGGCAUCCACAUCCACUGUUAUUACUCCUCUCAUCUCCAUGGCCAAGACAUCAAAGGAUGCAUGGCAUAAAUUGCAUACUCUGUAUGCAAGCAAGUCCAGAACCAGAGCAAUGCAACUUAAGGAAGAACUCACAAUGAUAAAGAAGGGCAACCAGUCAAUUCAAACUUAUCUUCAUUCUGUAAAAUCGUUGGCAGACGAAAUCUCCCUCAUAGAUCACCCAAUCUCUGAAGAUGAUCUAACACUCUAUAUUCUAAAUGGCCUGGGAACUGACUUUCGUGAAAUUGCAGGCCCUAUUCGCGCCCGAGAACGACCACUCACUUUUGAGGAACUUCAUGAUCUCCUUGUAAGUCAUGAUGCAUAUCUUCGCCGUCUUGAUGCCUCCUCCCAUCUGAUUGCUUCUGCAAACUACACGCACCGACGGGCUUCGUAUAAUCAAGAAAAUCAGUCUUUUAAAUCUGCCCCAAACCCCACUUUUUUGACAGAUCAUAUGGGCUUCACUAUCGCCAGCCUGGCAAUCCGAGAGACACAACAAAAAUCAUGGACCACGUCGUUUUCCUCCAGCUCCAAAGUGCCAACUAUGUGACCGCAUGGGUCAUACUGCCAAACACUGCAGUCGGUUUCAGUAUACCACCCCAACAGCGAAUUGCACUUCCACCUCACCCGCACAGGAUACAAAAUGGCUUAUAGACUCAGCCGCGUCUCAUAAUAUUACUGGUGAUCUUGCUAAUCUAUCUAUUCAUUCCGAAUACGAUGGCACAGACGAAGUUAUCAUUGGUGAUGGUUCAGGUUUGCCUGUUUCUCACAUUGGCUCCUUACAUCUUCAUUCCCCCACACGUACCUUCCAUUUAAAUGACACCCUUUGUGUUCCUAAUCUACAAAAAAAAUCUCAUAUCUGCUCAUCAAUUUACUCGUCAAAAUCAUGUCUUUAUUGAGCUUCACCCCUCUUUCUUUUUUGUUAAGGACAAGAUCACGGGAGCGGCUCUAUUCCGAGGAGCGUGUGAGAAUGGUGUUUACAUCCUUCCGAAGUCAAUGGUGCAGCCUUCUCAUCCUAUUGUUGCUAAUGUGCAUGAAAGGGUCUCCAUGGACGGAUGGCACAAACGCCUUGGGCAUCCCUCUCCUAAAUUGGUCACUCACCUUAUCAAAUCAUUUUCCCUUCCAACAAUAAAUAAAAAAAAUAUUUCUCUUUGUUCCUCAUGUUCUAUUAAUAAAGCUCAUCGUCAACCAUUUCGUCAAAACAGUCUCUUGAGUCAUGCCCCUCUUGACUUACUUUAUACUGAUGUGUGGGGUCCCUCAAGUACAAUUGGCAUUACUGGGGCUCGUUACUAUCUCAUUUUUGUUGAUCAUUUCACAAAAUACAUUUGGUUUUAUCCUAUGGAGACUAAAUCCAGUGUCCGCAUCAUAUUUCCUCAAUUCAAAAAUCUUGUUGAAAAUCGGUUUCAGUUAAAAAUUAAAUCUGUCUAUUCUGAUAAUGGUGGUGAAUUUGUUGCCUUAAAACAAUAUUUUACAACAAAUGGAAUCAGUCAUUACACCACAGCUCCUCAUACACCGCAACAAAAUGGUGUUUCUGAGCGUCGUCAUCGUCACUUGGUUGAAACCGGUCUCACAUUACUACAUGAUGCAUCCCUUCCCCUUCAGUAUUGGCCCUAUGCUUUUUCCACUGCUGCAUAUCUUAUUAACCGUCAACCCACACCUCUCCUCCACCAUAAAUCUCCGUUUGAAACUUUGUUUACACAGCCUCCAAAUUAUAAAAAGCUAAAAAAAUUCGGUUGUCUUUGUUUUCCUCUUGUUCGGCCAUAUAACACAAACAAGUUACAACCAAAAUCAAUUCCAUGUAUUUUCGUAGGCUACUCCUUAACCCAAAAUGCAUACAGCUGCCUUGAUCCCAUAACCAACCGUCUCUACCAAUCACGCCAUGUCAUCUUUCAUGAAAAUGAAAAUGGUUUCUCCUCCAACCAUCCUUCCACACCCAGCCCGACAAGCGACUCCUCUGUUCAUGGUCCUCUUUCAUCUCCUCCUGCACCUCCACCAGUGACUUCGGCAAGGAUACCCACUCUCACUGCUUCCUCAGGUAAUGACUCCCCCACUGUAUCUUUUAAUUCACGUGCACUCAUACCUUUAUCUUCUUCUGCUUCUCCUAGUUUUCAGCUUGCCUCAUCUCCACUGCCAAAUCCCAGUCAUCCACCCUCAUCAGUUAUUUGUGCACCUUCUCCAAGCUCACCUCCCUCAUCACCCAAUCCUGCACCCACCCGGCCUCACUCCAUGGUCACCCGUUCCAUGAAUAACAUUUAUAAACCCAAACAACUUAACAUCACCACAAAACACCCCAUCCCAAAAACUGUAGAACCAACCUGUGUGGGACAGGCUCUUCGUGAGCCACACUGGAGAUCAGCAAUGUCUGAGGAACUCACAGCCCUCAUGAGGCAUGGCACAUGGGAGUUGGUACCGCCUCCUCCGGACUGCCAACCAGUUGGGUGCAAAUGGGUUUUUCGGAUCAAACGACAUCCUAAUGGCUCCAUUGCUCGGUUCAAAGCCCGUUUGGUUGCAAAGGGAUAUCAUCAGCGGCCUGGUCUAGACUACAAUGAAACGUUCAGUCCAGUUGUGAAACCUGCCACCAUCAGAACAGUUCUCACCGUGGCUGUCACACAGGGGUGGCCAUUACGGCAGCUAGAUGUAAACAAUGCCUUUUUGCAUGGGAACCUGCAGGAAACAGUCUACAUGUUACAGCCACCGGGGUUCCAUGAUACCUCCACUCCCCAUCAUGUCUGUCGGUUAAACAAGGCUAUUUAUGGCCUCAAACAGGCCCCUCGUGCCUGGUAUUCUGCUCUGCAACAAGCCAUUCUGAAACUGGGAUUCACCAGCUCCAAAGCCGAUCCUUCUCUAUUUAUCUUUCACAGUGCAGAUGUUUUGUGUUACUUGCUGGUCUACGUGGAUGAUCUCGUUCUCACUGGAAACACUCCAUCCUUCCUGACUCAUGUGAUUGAUCAACUUAGCAUCCAAUUCUCAUUGAAAGAUAUGGGUGCACUUCAUCAUUUUCUGGGGCUAGAUGUUAUACCCACCAAAAACGGGUUGUUCUUAUCUCAACAUCAAUACAUACGGAUCUUCUCUUCAAAACUAAUAUGCAGGGUGCUAAGGAUGUCUCUUCUCCUAUGUCCACUUCGGUCCAGCUCAAGCUUAUUGAUGGCACAGCUCCCUGUGACAGCACUGCAUUUCGAAGCAUCAUCGGUGGAUUACAAUAUUUGUCUCUUACUCGUCCUGAUGUUUCCUUCACUGUUAAUAAGCUGUCACAAUUCAUGCAUCAACCUACGGUCACUCACUGGUCAGCUGCCAAACGCCUGCUCCGCUAUUUGAAGAAAACCAUCUUCCUUGGCAUUCACAUAAAUCGUCAGUCUUCAUUUGAUAUCACCACUUUUGCUGAUGCUGAUUGGGCUGGGAAUUAUGAUGAUCGCACCUCCACCUCAGCUUACAUUACAUUCCUUGGGCUCAAUCCCAUCUCGUGGAGCUCAAAGAAACAACGUGCAGUCGCCAGGUCCUCCACAGAAGCUGAGUAUCGUUCCCUUGCCACUGCUACGUCUGAAACAGUUUGGCUGUUGUCCCUGUUCAAAGAACUGUGUCUCCCAAUUUCAUCUCCGCCAAGGCUGUUGUGUGACAACCUGGGAGCUACACACCUUAGCUUCAAUCCAGUUCAGCAUUCCCGGAUGAAACACAUUCAGAUAGACCUCCACUUUGUCCGUGAUAUGGUUCACAAGAAGAUCCUCAAUGUUCAGCAUGUCAAUACUCAUGACCAAUUGGCAGACUUUCUAACGAAGCCUCUGUCUUCCCAGCGUCUGCAUUCCUUACUGCUCAAGAUUGGCUUAGCUGAUGGCUCAUCCAUCUUGCGGGAGCGUAUAAAGGAAAUCCCCUCAGAUUCAGCCAAUAUUCAAAUUUCCCAGAUUCAGCCAAUAUUCACUUGCCUCUUGCCCAUGAUCCUGCAACCAUCAUUCAAGCAUAAUAUCAAGCUUGUAACGGCAGACAAAUCUUCAACGUAAAUGCAGUAUAAAUGUCAAGACGUAAUCUUAGCUUACUUUCUAAAUUCAAACCUGCAAAGCUGUGUAUAUAUAUGUUAACAAUUGUAUUACUCAAGGUGUGGCGAAAUAUACAAUUCUGAAGUUUAUCAAAUAGCUCAACUCUCUGAAAUUUCUUAUCUUCAUCAGGGUGAUCAUUUUAAAGAUUUUUUAGUAUAAUUUCUCAAAGUAUAAUGGGGAAAUGAAAACACGAUCAAAGCACAAGAAUAUUUUUUUUUUUUGUAAUUAUCCAUGAACUCAUGAAUAGUUGUAAAGUUUUUGAAGUGAGAUAAUGUUUGGUGAUUUAACUAGUUAGUUGGCCUGCAUUUUAUCGCGUGAUGAAGAAAUUUCUUGCUUUGCAAUGAAAAAUAAAAAGAAUUAUCUUGCAAUAUCGAUAAUAAACACAACAAAUUAAAACAAAAUAAAACUAAGUUUGUUUACAUGUUGGUCGUUAAUUUAAGAUUAAAAUUUAUGGUUAAUUAAAAUUUUUUUUUACUAUAUUUCAUAUGUCACAAAUAUUUGUGUUAUAAAUAUUGUUAUUUUUAUUAUAAUUAAAAAUACUAAUAUAAAAAUAUUGUUGUUUGUGCUAUAAAUAUGAUUAUUUUUAUUAUAAUUAAUUUGAUUAAUAAAAUAAUUAAUAAAUUUGAAAAACAAAUUAUUAUCAAUAUUGAAAAACAACCAUAGAUUUGAUUUGAAAUGUAAAAUUGAAAAUUGUUAUUGUUAUCAUUAAUAAAUUUGAAAAAAAAAUACUAUUAUUACUAUUGAAGAAAAUCCAUAAUUUUUCAAAAAAAUUAAAAAAUAUAAGAAUUUAGACGGACAAGUUAAAUAUUAUUAUUUAUAUUAUAAAUAUUAUCGUUGGGUUUGACAUUACAGUUAGACUCGACUCCUUCAAUUCUUGUGUUGCAACCAGACCAAAGCUUUUGAGUCAUAUAUUUUUUUUAUAUUUUUUAUGAAAAUAAAACGUUGGCCGCAACCUAACUAAUAAUUACUAAAUGAGGACUCCAAAUAAAUUAAUUCAUUUGAUUGCUAUGUGAGAUUUUUUAUAAAAUACUUCAAGGAAAACAAACAUAUUAAAAUCAUAAAAACAUUUUACUAUAAAAUAUUAUACAGAAUAAACGUAACUUACUCUAAAUUUCCUCAAACAAUCUUGCAUUGCAAGAUUAAAUGGGCAGUAACAACGCCAGGAAUGCUUUCUUGUGGAUUUAAACACAUUUUUCUAUUCCUCUUAAUUAUGGGAGGGGGGAGCUAUCUUCUGCUGUGUAGGAAGAUCUGAUGAAACAAAGGAACAAUUGUUUUCAUUUUACCAAAAACAUAUUUAGUGGAGUCGUACUAUUGAUUAAAAAUCAUCUACCAGAAGUGGAGUAUCCUCAAUACAAGUUGUUGCAACUCUGAAGAACAUAUUGCUAGUAUUUGUUGAGACUUGAGAAUAGCAUUACCCAUCUAGAAACCUGGCCAAAAUAUAGGUUUCAGUUUUCCAGCCAUAAUCCCGACAAAUGAGAUAAGGUGGGAAACAACUUUACAGGCAUUAACAUUAGAAUAAAAAUCAUCAGGAAGCUCCUAAAUGCUGCGUAAACAUAUAGCAAUUUUAUAAAGAAAAGGAAUACAUGACAUGAAAAUAAAAUACAAAUACUUUGCAGGUGAAUUCCUUAUUAUGAACCACAAAACGCAGCUCAUACAGCGGUAAAAAAAGAAGUAGGACUUGGAGGGAUUGGGAUUUCGACGGUCCCAUCCAACAUGAGGAGGACCAUUUUCAUUGAAGGGCGGAGGGAUGGCUCAUCAAGAGUGCACCAAAGUCCCACUUUAACCAUCCUAUCUAACUGUUUCUUUUCGACGACUUCUUCACCCACAAGUUUGUCCAUAUCACCGUCCUGAAAACAUUGAUAAACCCACUGUUCGAGAACAGCUUCAUCCUCUGGAAGACUCCAAUCCACAUUCUUUCGACAACACGUGAUCUCCAACAACAUAACUCCAAAGCUAUAAACAUCUGCUUUAACUGUCACCGGCAUAUUCCGGUGCCAUUCUGGUGCUACAUAUCCCCUUGUCCCUCUGAUUCCCGUGAAGGUUUUAGUUUGGUCUGACUUCAGAAACUUUGCCAAUCCAAAGUCAGAAACUUUGGGGCACCUGCUUUCAUCUAUUAGUAUAUUCUGAGGUUUUAUAUCACAGUGGAUGAUCUGAGUGUCGCACUCUUCAUGUAGAUAAACAAUACCCCUUGCAAUGUUGCGAGCAAUUUCCAACCUUUCAGGGAAGCAAGGUCGUUUUUCAAGUGAGAAGAGUAUGUCAGCAAGGGAGCCAUUGCUCAUGUACUCGUAUACCAGGAGCCUGUGAUGUUCAUCAUGGCAAUAGCCGAGCAGACGGACUAGGUUUCUGUGAUGUGUUUUCCCAAUGACUUUCAUCUCAUUCUGAAAUUCUCUUUCCCCUUCAGCUAGAGCUUUCUCCAGUCUCUUGACAGCAACAACCUUCCGAGUACUUGAUAUUAUCCCUUUAUAAACUGUCCCAAAUGAUCCCCUGCCAAUUUCUUCCUUGAAACCACCAGUAACAUCUUCUAGCUCUGCAUAAGUGAAAGCUCGAGGAGCAAAUUCCUCAUUCAAUGCACUACCAUCAUUUUUGGGAACCUUUUUAUAUGCCAAUACAUGAUAUCUGUAAAUGAUGAUUCCGAAAAUCGCCACCAUAGCAAGCCCAAAAGCAACAACUGAACAACUUAUUAUUACGAUUCUCCUGCCAGUGCCAAGGUUCUUCUUCUCUUUUCUGUCCAUGGAGGAUAUGGGUCUACCCACCUUGACGACAGCCAAGUUGGAACUUUCUAAGUUUCUCCUCCCAAAUCUCAAAGGAAGCCUUUGCUUUCUGCAGUACUGCCCAUCAGUGAAUAAUGCUGCUUCACAGUUACAGUCUUCCAAACAGGCUUGCUUACAAUUGUCUUUCAUUGUUAAAGACAAAACGGAGUAUGAAACAUCUUCCCAGAAUAUUAGACAGCUCUUCCAUGGUGUAUGUGCUACUUCCAUUCUUGUUUGCAACUUUCAGCAUGAAAUCCCUCUCACAGCCAGAAGUCCAAUUUCCCUGGGUAACAAACUUAAAUCCAGGAAGACAAAUACAUUCAGCUUCCUGAUCCUUCAACACAAUAUCCAUUAAGACCGCAUGAUCCUUUCGGGUGGCACUUUGCUUGUGGAUGACCACACAGCUGACCAGUUUCCAUUCCGUGUCAGAUUUUGUGAAUAUAAUCUGAAAAUCCCAUCAGCAUCAAGUUUCAUAUUAAUUGUUUCUUUCGUGGGAUAUCCUCCAGCUGUAAUGUUUUUAUGUUGAAACCUGUGGAAUUGAGCAGGUAGAGACGGCCAUCCGGAUCAAGAUUUAGGGUCACAUUAUCUCCCGCCCCAUUAGUAUCAGAUGCAAAAUAAGCAUAUGGAGCUGUAUCUGGAGUACUAACAGGAUACUGCACAAGGUGUCCAUCAUGUUGCAUCUUGAGUCGGUAAAUACCAGUUGAGAGGUCAGUUUCUGAAACAGGAGAAACCAGCUCUGCCCCUGCUCUGAGCUGUUGAGUUGGCAAAAGGGUAUCUGUUGGGUGGUCAAAACUCUGCCAUAUAAUCUCGUGAUCAGAAUUAUAUAGCACAAAGUUGCCUGAAUCAGACAUAGAAGCUAAAGAAGCUGGCUGGGAAGCAGAAACUAUCGGAGUCUCAUCCCCUUGUGCUGAUCUCAAGACAACCCUGCCAUCACUGGUGAAGAGCAAGGUCGCAUUACUGGGGACUGGGGCGUCAUCCCUUCUAGCAAAGAAAGAGAAGAUGCUUUACAAGAGGCACAGAAGCAAGUCCUUAAAGUCAACAGAAAGAAGGACAACAAAGCAAAGACCAUCAUCUAUCAAGGUCUUGAUGAAGAUACAUUCGAGAUAAUAGCUUCCGCUGAAACGUCACAUGAUAUAUGGGAGGCUCUCCAACAAAAAUACAAAGGUGCUGACAGAAUCAAGAAGAUUCGUCUUCAAUCUUUGAAAGGAGAAUUUGAAUUAUUACGAAUGAAGUCCUCAGAAUCUAUUUCUGAUUAUCAUACAAGGAUUAUGGUGAUAGUCAAUCAGAUGAGGAGAAAUGGAGAAGCCAUCAUAGAUACUCGAAUUAUUGAGAAAAUUUUGAGAUCCAUAGAUCCAAAAUUUGAUCAUGUUGUUGUCGCAAUUGAAGAGUCCAAGGAAGUGGACAAGUUGACAGUGGAUGAGCUUAUGAGUUCUUUGCAAGCUCAUGAGCAGAAGAUUGUAAUGCGAAAUGAAGAUAAGGCCAUUGAGCAUGCCUUACAAGCAAAGCUGUCUUUCAAGGACAGAUAUGAGCAAGGGGAGACUUCAACAAGUGGCUACACCACUCAAGGAGGAAGUCAACAAUCCAGAGGAGGAUUCCAGAGAUUCCAAGGAAGAGGUUCUUGGAAUACAAGCUUCAGAGGAAGAGGUGGUAGAAACACCACCAGAGGAGGCCAAGGCCAACAAGCAUUCACUCCCAGAGGAAGAGGAGGCGGUUACAAUAACCGUGACAAGAGGAAUAUCCAAUGUUAUAGUUGCAAUCAAUUUGGGCACUAUAGCACUGAAUGCCGAUGGAAAGCUCCGUUGGAGAUACGUGAGCAAGCCAACUAUGUAGAGAAGCAUGAUGGAGAAGCAUCUGCAUUUCUUGUCCAACAAGGACAUGGCGAGAAAAAGAGGAGAUAUGGUAUCUAGAUACUGGAGCCAGCAAUCACAUGUGCGGCUACCGAGAGUUAUUUGGUGAUCUAGAUGAGACCAAGCAAGGUCUAGUUACUUUUGGAGAUACCACAAAGGUUCCAUUCAAAGGUAAAGGCAACAUCCCAGUCAAGUUGAAGAAUGGCGAUUCCAGCUACAUCGCCGAUGUGUAUUAUGUCCCAGCCAUAAAGCAGAACCUGAUCAGCUUAGGUCAACUUUUGGAGAGAGGAUAUAUUUUUACUCGAAGAAUUGUCAUCUGCAAUUAGAGACAACAAUGGGAGAUUAAUGGCCUACGUGAAAAUGUCCAAGAAUAGGAUGUUUCCUUUGAACAUCCAGUAUGAUGCAACAAGGUGUUUGAGUGCCAUCACCAACAGUGAAGAAUGGCUUUGGCACCUGAGGCUUGGACAUCUGAAUUUCACAAGUUGAAGAUGCUAGCAAGCAAGAAGAUGGUCAAAGGUUUGCCUCACAUUGAUCAUCCAGAUGAAGUCUGUGAGAGUUGUGUCCUCAGCAAACAUCACAGAUCCAGUUUUGCCAAAGAAGUCAACUGGAGAGCAAAGAGGCCACUGGAGUUAGUACACACAGAUGUGUGUGGCCCAAUUACGCCUAUGUCGACUGGACAAAAUAGGUACUUCCUCACUUUUACUGAUGAUUUUAGUAGAAAGACGUGGAUAUACUUUCUGAAGAGGAAGUCAGAAGUAUUCAAUUGUUUUAAAGAUUUUAAAGCAAUUGUGGAGAAGCAAACUGGUUACACGAUCAGAACCGUAAGAUCUGAUCAAGGUGGAGAAUAUACAGCAAAUGACUUUGAAGCCUAUUGUACACAACAAGGCAUCAGACAUCAGACGACGCCAGCUUAUACACCACAGCUGAACGGUGUAGCAGAAAGGAAGAAUCGCACGAUUCUUGACAUGGCAGAAGUUGCUCAAAGCAAAGAAGCUGCCCAAGCAAUACUGGGCUGAAGCUGUAUCAUGUGCAGUGUAUCUGUUGAAUCGCUGCCCAACCAGAAGUUUGCAAGGAGUCACUCCAGAAGAAGCAUGGAGUGGUCACAAACCAAGUGUUACUCAUCUACGAGUCUUUGGUUGUGUGGCAUAUGCAAAGAUCCCAGAUGCAAGAAGGAGAAAGCUCGAUGAUAAGAGCGAGAAAUGCAUCUUUGUCGGAUAUGGUGAAAGAAGGAUGGGAUACAGACUGUAUAAUCCCAUCACGAAGAAGGUGAUUACGAGUAGAGAUGUUAUCUUUGAAGAAGAUAAAUCUUGGGCAUGGAAUGUGAUCAAGAAGCAGUCAAAUGGAUCAAUCUUGAUUUGAUCCUUGAAGGUGAAGAAGUACCAACAGUACUUGUAGAAGAACCGAUUGUGCCAGCAGCUGAACCACAAAGUCCAGUGUUUAUACCAGUAGCUGAACCACAAAGUCCGGUACACAGAUUCCCUGUAUUCAACAGGAGGAACACACCAGGAGCAUCAUCAUCAACACCACCAUCAGCAUCCUCGUCAGAAGGACCAAGAAAGAUGCGGAAUCUUGAAGAGUUGUACGAUACCACUCAGGUCAUGGAAGAUACAACUUUGUUUUGUUUCCAUGCAGAUAAGGACCCACCAGAAAAGAAGAAAGCAAAAGGUGUCAAAAGGGUCUACAAGACGAAAGCCAAAUUAGUGGAUAAAGGCUACAAGAGAGAAGGCAUUGAAAGAAGAAGUGUCCAUGCUUGGCAUGACAUCCCUCGAUUGAGUUUAAAGGGGAGAUUUGUUGAAUUAAACUCAACAUCUAGAUGGUCAAGGAAGGAAACCACCAGCUGCCACCGACCAGCCGUCAGCCACCAGCCGCCUUCACACCGCCGGUCAACAGCCGCCUUCACACCUGGAACAGUAGAUUUUUGUAUUCUGAAUUUAUGUAUAAAUAGGGUGCUCAGUUAUGUUAAAUUGUGUGGAGAGAAUUGAGAGAAACACUUGAAAGAGAAAGAGAGAGAGAGAGGGCGUGUAUUAAGCUUUUGUUUUGUGUUAAUUGUAAGCUUCGGUUUUGUGUAAUAAAACAGUGUGUUUUAUCCCCUCUGAGUGUCUCAAAGCCACCACCAGUGGUUUCUCCCACCAACAGCCCACACAACAGUCUUUAGUGAAAUCCCGGAUAGAAAAACCCCUAUAGAAUAGCCGUCGCGUUGUCGGAAAAAUCCGAAAGCAUAAAGACCAGAAGGUGACAACCAUAAGGAGUUUGUGAAAGGUGUUAGAGAAGAUCCGAGGGUUAUAUUGGUCUGUCUUUGAGCUGAAGCUGUAAAAGAUAAGGCGAGAAGAAGAAAAAAGAUGAUAGAAGCCAUGGAUAGGGAUUUAGCUCUUGUCUGGUAUGGGAGUGUCAAUAUAAGGAUGUCUAAUGUUCCAGCACUCCAGUCUCUUUCUUUGGGUUCCAGCAGUCAAGCCAGGCACUCAGAACAUGAAAGUCUAGCCAUAAAAUCCACGCUUGCUUGUAUGCUUUCAAAGUCAAUGCAGUUGCGACGCCCCAUUUGAACAGCCAUUUGCUAAUUUCCCCUGGACUGUUCUUGGUUCUAAUUUUCUGCAGCAGAUUCUUUUUUAUUUGUCAAGUACCAUCAAUAUGCUUUUGAUAACAUAUUGAUGGUAUGGUUUUUUCUAUGGUUUUUUCAAUGGACCGUUGAUUCUAUGGUUUUUUUCCACACGUAUUUUGCAGGAACAGAAAUUGGACGUAUGAGUAAAGUAAUGUAUCUCUUGUCCUUGGCUGUAGCCAGUCUUUCUUUGAGCGUGUUUGGAAUUAAGAUAGUAAUAAUGGUUUAAAAUGUUUUUUAUUUAAAAAUAUAUUAAAAUAAAAAUUUGUUAUUUUAAAAAAAAUUAUUUUUAAUUUUAAUAUAUUAAAAUAAUUUAAAAAUAUAAACAAAAUUUAAAAUUUAAAAUAACAGAAAUGUGUUCGAUUGACGGAUUGAGGGUGCCCCUGUAUGACUUUAUUCAGAGUAUAAUUAAGGUGGUCACAACAGGGACUGUUCUCAGCAAAAAUGUCUUCUCUGACUAGCUUCAAAGCCAUGGGUGCGCUUUGAGGGGCUUUAUAAUUUAUUUAUUAAAAAUGUAUUAUGAAAAAGUAAAUAUGUAAAUCUUCAUGGGAGAUCUCUAAUAGAUGAAUUCUACAUUUUUUUUUGCCCGUAAGUUUUUUCUAACUUUAAAAAAUAUAAAGUCCAUGCAGUUAUAACUUAAAUCAACCUGGAUUAAUUUAACUAAUAUACAAAGCUCAAGGUGCAAUUAUUUAAUAUUAAAAAUUAAAAUUAUAUAAAUAAAAAAUAUUAAAUAAAAAAAUUUAAGUCAACUCAUCACCCGCAAUACAAGACUAGAACUAAAAAAUAAUUAAAAAAAAACUUAAAAAAACUCAUGAGCACUGUAUAUUGAAAUUGAAAAUGCUGUUGAAAGUUAUAUUUAUUGAAAUUAAAGGUUUUUUCAUAUUUUCAUAAAGGUUUACAUCAUUGUUUUACUUUUUUUAAAAAAAUUAUUAUUUGACAUUGUUUUUUUUUUAAAAAGGCUUUGUAGUUUUUAAUUUUUAUUUCAAUUGUAGUGUCUCGAUCUUAUAAUUUAAAUUAUAAAUUUACUGGGUUAAUUCAAGUUGACUCGAUCCUUUUUCUAGAUUCACUUUUCUAUGAAAGGAAUUUUACUCUCUUUUUUAACAUUAUUUUUUUAAAAAAAUAAAAUUAGUUCAUCCCUGUGGCGCAGAGCAGGUGCACAUCUAGUCUCUCUGCUAAAUGUUUUGCAAUCUGAUUUGCUUCUCUAAAUACAUGACUGAAACUGACUAAUAUAUAAUUAAACAAACUCUAGAGAAUCCCAUACAUACCUAAUCGUUUGAACGCGAAAUUGAUGCAUUUGGAUGUAAAGUGAAAACCGUAAAUUAGGACUCCUAAAUUUCUAGUUUUUAGGGUUCAGAUUUCUAUCAGUCAUGAAGAGAGAGAUUUUGAUUUUUUUUUGAGAGAUAAAGGAGGACAAGAGAAAGUAUUGAAUGUGAGUGUUACCAGUCAUUUCUUAUAUAUUAUAUAUAUGAGGGUAAUUUUUUUUUUUGAUUAUUUUAAAGAUUUUUUAUUAUAAUUUCUCAAAGUAUUUUUUAUAAUGGGGAAAUGAAAACACGAUCAAAGCACAAGAAUGAUAAAUAUCCGUUCUCAUCUUGCGGGGGGAUAUUGGAACCUAGCGCAUACUCACACAAAACAUAAAGAAGCUAAGGAUGCAGACAAUUCUUCAUUGCUUGCGGAGCAAGUAACCCCUGCAGCCGACUCCCCUACACCAAAAGACUAACGAAGACUAGCCAAGUUAUCAUAACACAUUGUAAAUUGUGGAUAUAAUAAAGUUAGUUAUAUACUGUUAAAGUUAGUUAGAAUAUGUGUAUAUAUAUGUAUUCAUGUAUACUGCAAAAGAGACAAAUAAUAAGAGAAGAAAUACUGCAUAUUGAUUGCAGACUUUCCAAACGUAUCUUCCUUCUUCUUCUCUCAUAAGAAAUUUUAUUCUCUUCUUCUUUCUCUACUUCUACAGGAAAGAAUAAAUUCUGCUAUAACAAAAUUAUUAUGGUAUCAGAGCAAGAUUUCUUCUAAAUCUCUGAAAAUAUAUACUCUUCUUUAUUUUUUUUCAGAAAGAUUCAAGAUCUUUGUAGUUGGAUAUUUUUCUGUCAUCAACUUCUUGAUUCCUUCAAAACUUCAAAAUGUCUGAUCAUCUUGAAGAAAGUGCUUCUACAGCACAUAAAGAUUCAUCCAAUAUCACUACUCUGAAUCUUUCUGAUGAUUCUUCCAGCUGCUACUACCUCCAUCCUUCUGAUAAUCCUGGCGCACUUCUAGUUUCUGAAAUCUUCACUGGCGAAAAUUAUAUUGCAUGGAGCAGAUCCAUGACAAUUGCCUUAACAGUGAAAAACAAGAUUGCCUUCAUUGAUGGAUCUUUAGUUCAACCAAACACCACCAAUCAAUCACUUUGUGUGGCAUGGCUGAGAUCAAACAAUCUGGUUCUAUAAUGGCCGAUGAAUUCAAUUGCCAAAGAAAUUAGCAACAACCUUCUUUACUUCACAACAACAUUCGAUAUCUGGGAAGAAUUACGAAUGAGAUAUCUUAGAAGUGAUGGACCAAGGGUUUUUAGUUUAGAAAAAUCUUUGAGUUCUAUUUCCUAGAAUUCAAAAUCUAUCACUGAAUAUUUCAGUGAAUUCAAGGCACUAUGGGAUGAAUACAUCAGUUAUCGCCCAAUCCCAAGCUGCAAAUGUGGAAAUCUUGAUUCCUGCUCAUGCAACAUUUUUAAACAUCUAACAGAUCGACAACAAUCCGACUUUGUUAUGAAAUUUUUGGUUGGCCUUCAUGAUUCUUACUUAGCAGUUAGAAGCCAACUAUUGCUCCAAACUCCUUUGCUAUCUAUGGGCAGAGUCUUUUCCCUACUUCUUCAAAAAUAGAGUCAGAGAUCCCUAACAAAUGCAGCAGGCAUUCCAAUUGAUUGCCAAGCAAUGAUUGCUGAACACUACCACAAUCAAAAUUCCAAAUCAGGUUCAACAUAUACUACACGCUUUGCUAAACAAAAAGGAAAAACUGAGGCAACCUGCUCCCACUGUGGAUAUCCUGGACAUACUAUUGAUAAAUGUUUCUAACUUAUUGGAUACCCUCUUGGGUGGAAAGGAUCAAGAGGAAAAAGAUUUGCUACUAUGCCACAGACCAGCAAAAACUUUCAACGAUUACCCACUGCACAUCAUACUACUAUCUUGCAACCACAUCUUGACACCCCUAACAUUGUUUUCUCUCAAGAACAGAUGCAAAAUCUACUCACUCUAGCAAAUAGCAUUUCCAGCUCAAAGAUAAAUAACACUACUAAAGAAGUAUCUACAUCAGGUAUAUCUUUUUCAUGUCAUACAUCAUCUUCACCUCAAAAUAGAUUUUCAUGGAUUCUUGAUACUGGAGCCACAUAUCACAUGAUUUGUAGUCCUCUUCUUUUUUAAUCCAUCAUUCUCCCUAAAACUCAGUCUAAAACUCAGUCUAAAGUUCAUCUGCCAAAUGGUCAACAUGUACCAAUUCUCUUCACUGGAACGGUUAAAUUUUCUCCUGACAUCAUUUUAUACAAUGCACUUUAUGUUCCAGCUUUUAAUAUCAAUCUAAUUUCUGUUUCUAAAUUAACUGCCGCUAACACUGUUGGCUUAUUUUUUCUUCACACAAAAUGUAUUCUGCAGGAUCUAAGCAAAUGGAAGAUGAUUGGUCUUGCUGAAGCUGAAUCUGGUCUCUACAAUCUUCACAAACCCCCUGAUCAAAAUACUAAAGAAUCACCUCCUAGAUCAAACAUCAAAUCCUGUGUUGUUGCGACAAAUCUCUAGCAUUUACGUUUAGGCCACAUCCCUCCCUCCAAAAUCACCCUUUUGAACAAAACUGAUCCUUCAGUCACUAUCAGCAACAAUACCAUUUGUGAUAUUUGCCCCCUAGCUAAACAAAAACGGUUGCCCUUUUCUUUAUCUAUUCAUAAAUCUACAACAGCUUUUCAAUUAGUUCACAUUGACAUUUGGGGACCAUUCUCUGUUACCUUUUAUUCUGGUUAUCAAUUUUUUCUUACUAUUGUAGAUGAUUACAGUAGAUUUACUUGGUUAUUUUUAAUGAAAUCUAAAUCUGAAACAAGACAUCUUCUCAGCAAUUUUCUAGCCUAUGUUCAUACUCAAUUUAACACCAACAUUCAAACUCUCAGAUCCGACAAUGGCCAAGAAUUUAAUAUGCCUACUUUCUACCAAACGCAUGGCAUCAUACAUCAAUUAACAUGUGUUGAAACACCUUAACAGAAUGGAAGGGUUGAAAGAAAACAUCAACACCUGCUCAAUUUAGCUCGAUCUCUUCUGUUUCAAUCCCAACUACCUUUAUCUUAUUGGACAAAUUGCAUACUCACAGCCACACACCUCAUUAAUCGUACCCCCUCCCUCAUUCUCCAAAAUCAGACACCUUACCAAGUUCUUUAUCACAAACCACCAUAUUACAAUUACUUAAGAGUAUUCGGCUGUUUAUGUUUUGCUAGCACAAUCACACAUAAUAGAGGUAAAUUUCAUCCCAGAGCCACGAAAUGUAUUUUUCUUGGAUACCCUCCACACAUUAAAGGAUACAAAGUUCUUGACUUAACCAUUUGCAAAACCUUUGUAUCUCGAAAUGUUGUUUUUCAUGAAUCCACCUUUCCAUCUAUUCCAAACAAAGUUCAUACACCCCUUGUGUUCCCUGACUAUCCUCAAAAUUUUGACCCUUUUCCUUGUCUCCCAUCAAACACAACUCUACAUGAUUCUGUUGUUCCUGCAAAACUUCCUAUACAACCUCCUGUUCCUCACAUUUCUCCCCUACCUCCUCCUCCUCUUCCCCAACUUAGAAAAUCUGAAAGAAAUAAACAUCCACCUACUUACUUAACACAGUAUUAUUGUGGACAUAUGGCUCAGAUUGCUUCAGCAACUCCAGACUCUCCACCUUGCUCCCUGCCUGGUAAGCCCUACUCUAUCUUUUCUUUCUUGUCUACCUCCCAAUUAUCUUUACCCCACUGUGCUUUCACUUCUUCUGUUUCAUCUGUUUAUGAACCGAAAACUUACAAACAAGCUAGCUCUAUCCCUCAUUGGCAACAUGCUAUGACCAAUGAAAUCAAAGCUCUUGAGAAAAACAAAACUUGGGACUUAGUCAUUCUGCCACCAAAUAAAACUGUCAUUGGAUGUAAAUGGGUCUACAAAGUUAAAUUUCAGGCUGAUGGACAGGUUGAAAGAUAUAAAGCACGAUUGGUAGCAAAAGAAUACACACAACAAGAGGGAAUUGAUUUUUUUGACACUUUCUCUCCUGUUGCAAAAAUCACAACAGUACGAGUUCUUCUCACCAUUGUUGCAGCCAACAAUUGGCAUUUACAUCAACUUGAUGUAGACAAUGCCUUCCUACAUGGUGACUUAUAUGAGGAAGUAUAUAUGCAAUUACCACCUGGCUACUCCAAUCACAAUGACCCUCGAAUCUGCAAGCUCAAAAAGAGCAUCUAUGGUCUUAAACAGGCUUCUAGACAAUGGUUUUCCAAACUCUCUGCAUCUCUACUUCACUUUGGUUUUCUACAAGCCAAAUCAGAUUCUAGCCAUUUCAUCAAGCAAUCUCACACAGCCCUCAUUGACAUUUUAAUCUAUGUUGAUGAUGUUCUCAUCGCCUCCAAUGAUCUUACAGCACUGACUAUAGUAAAAAACUACCUUCGCACAAUUUUCCCUAUCAAAGAUUUGGGAAACCUUAAAUACUUUCUCGGUAUUGAGGCAGCUCGAUCUACCAAAGGCAUUGUUCUUUUCCAAAGAAAAUAUGCCUUGGACAUACUUACAGACAGUGGUUUUUCUGGCGCUAAACUUGUCAAUUUUCCAAUGGAAUCCACACUCAAACUCAGCACACAUGAUACUAGCCCUCCCUUGACUAAUCCUGCAUCUUAUCGUAGACUUAUUAGCAAGCUUCUCUAUCUUACACUCACAAGACCAGACUUAUCCUAUGCCAUCCAAACUCUCAGCCAAUUCAUGUCAAACCCUCACACCCUAUAUAUGCAAGCAGCAGAGAGAGUUCUUCGGUAUCUCAAAGCCACACCAGGAAAAGGCUUACUUCUCAAAGCUGCUUCUCCUCUUCAUUUAAAAGCUUAUUCUAACAGUGAUUGGGGAGGUUGCAUUGACACUCGUCGACGUGUUACUGGCUACCUAGUCUUUCUUGGAGAUUCAUUAAUAUCCUGGAAAUCAAAGAAACAACCUACUGUAAGUAGGUCCUCUGCAGAAGCUGAAUAUCGGGCAUUGGCAACUACUUCAUGUGAACUACAAUGGCUUACUUAUUUACUAGCCGAUUUCCACAUCCCUCACUCUCAACCUGCCUUACUCUACACUAACAGCAAACCAGCCUCCGAAAUAGCUUACAACCCUGUUCAUCAUGAACGCACCAAACAUAUCCAACUUGACUGUCAUCUUGUACGUGAAAAAAUGCAAGAAGGACUCCUUACCAUCAUUCACAUUCCUUCCAAAUUUCAAUUAGUUGAUGCCCUCACUAAACCACUUGGUUAUCACAUGCUUAAUCCUCUCCUUGACAAGAUGGGAAUGAUAAAUAUCCAUUCUCAUCUUGCGGGGGGAUAUUGGAACCUAGCGCAUACUCACACAAAACAUAAAGAAGCUAAGGAUGCAAACAAUUCUUCACUGCUUGCGGAGCAAGCAACCCCUGCAGCCUACUCCCCUACACCAGAAGACUAACGAAGACUAGCCAAGUUAUCAUAACACAUUGUAAAUUGUGGAUAUAAUAAAGUUAGUUAUAUACUGUUAAACUUAGUUAAACGUUUGUUAACGUUUUAUUAACAGAAGCUAGUUAGAAUAUGUGUGUAUAUAUGUAUUCAUGUAUACUGCAAAAGAGACAAAUAAUAAGAGAAGAAAUACUGCAUAUUGAUUGCAGACUUUCCAAACGUAUCUUCCUUCUUCUUCUCUCAUAAGAAAUUUUAUUCUCUUCUUCUUUCUCUGCUUCUAUAGGAAAGAAUAAAUUCUGCUAUAACAAAAUUAUCAUAAUUAGAGAAAAACAAUUUACUAUAUUUCAUAUGUCACAAAUAUUUUUCAUAAAAUAAAUACAACUUAACUUUGAUAAAUGAUACCUCUAGAAAUGUGGAAUCCAUUUAUAAUUGAAUUAAAAUUAUAUUGAAAUGCUUCUUAUCAGAACAGAAAAAAAAAACAUAUUGAAAUGGGCCUACCAAAUACAGCAUUAAAUAUUUUAAUUACCAUAAAAUUGACAACUAGCAAUGAAAUUAACAACAAAAAAUAUUUUCAUUGGUAAUAUCCGAUGAAAAUAGCAAUGAAACAUAUCCAUUAAAUAUUAAAAAAUUAAAUAGCAAUGGAAUAUGUGCAAUCAAUAAUUAUCAAUGAAAUUGGCAAUGAAAUAAAAAUAAUUAGAAAAAAUAAAUAAAUAUUAUGUCAGCAAUUCCAUCGAUAAUAUGACACAUCAUUAUUUACAAAAUGUUUCAUUGGUAUUCACCGAUGAAAAUAUUUCAUCAGUAGUUUUCAUUGGAAGUUUUGUCGAUAAAUUUACAAGUGUUACAACCAACAACAACCCGCCCUAUCCAUUUCUUCUUCUUAUUUAAUAUCAGAAAAUAGGUACCCUCCUUGUUAUGUCACAAAUCUAGGCCUUGUAUUUAUAAAUUUGACCACCCCAACAUUCAAUAGUGUCAGUAUUAUUAUCUCGGUUCAAUUUUUUCUAAAUACUCACUACACCAAGUAAGCAAACCUACAUAUUUAUGUUUUAGGUUAAUUUAUUGAUAUUUUUGUAAUAUUUUGUAAUUUAAUUGUAUAUUUAAGUGUUUUACAUCUGUUUUUCCUUAAGAAUUUUGUUGUAUUAAAGAAUGAUUUGUAUGUUAGGAUUUGUUUGGGAUUUGAAGAAAAUUGAAUUUGUUUUUCAUUUGAUGAAUUUAAGUUUGAUUUUGUAAUUUAUGUUUGUUAUAUCAGAAGAAAUGAUAAGUUAUUUAAUAGAUAUAAUUAUAUUUUGUCGAUUUUAUUAAGUUUGGAAAUUUUACUAGGUGUGUUAUGCAACCCAAGAUUAAAGACGCGUUGUAGUGUUUUGAUCAUAAACAUUUCAUAAUCCAACAUAAAACAACCAUCACUUGUCAUUUAGGAGUUAGAUUCAAGAACAAAUUAUUGUUGCAAAGGCUAAACUUGAGGUAGAGUAUGAAGAAUGAAGUAGAAAGCAAUGAAAGUAAAUGAUAAUAUACAUGUAGACUUAUUAUUCUCCCACUGGAAAUAUUCAUCCCCCUCCACCUCUACCUUCAUAUGCAGCUCCAACUUUAGUUAGUUAGGAGUUUAUCUAAUAUAUUAAGAUAUUUAUAAUUGAUUUUAUAAUUAAAUUAAUGAAAUAAAAUGUGUUCUUUAAUUUAAUAUAAUUAAAUAUUAAUUUGUUUAAUCUAAAUAAACAUUUAUUAAAAAAAAUAAACAACAAACAUAGAAAUUAAGUUGAUGAUUUUGUCAAUUACAUCAGUCUAUUUGUAUCUAAAAAUUACAUAAAAAUUGUUUAAUUUUUUGGCAUCAUUGAUACAAUCACUGCCAUAAUUUUUAUGUUCACGAUCCGUCAUCGAUACAUGAUCAAUUACCGACUGGUAUUCUGUCGUUUAUCGUUUAUGCCUUGGAACUGUACCUGUGUGUAGGUAUGGACAAUUGCUUUUUAGGCAAGAAACUGCGUUGUGGGAUAGGAGAAGAAGGGGCAGAAACAAGCAAAGAUCAUUCUCUCAUCCUAUUCUUCAUGAAGAGCUCUCACUCUUGAGAUUACAUCAGACCAACAAAAGUUGUUUUUACUCAUCCUAAUAAGAUCAUCACAGAGAAGAUUGGCAAGGAACUUCUAAGUACUGGUGUUGUUUUGAUUUCCUUUUCUUUGGUGGUCUUUGCAUCAUCUGACUUGAUGGUCAUGAUGACACGCCAAGCUUCUCCACCAGAUGUCACUGAAGGUAUUAAGAUCUGCACCUUUUAGCUACGAUCAACUCGCGGUGGCCACGAUGAUUCAAGGAAGAGAUCGGUAAAGGGGCAUCAGGAGGCUCUGUAGAGGCUCGUUAGCAAAGAAUGACGGGAAAGAAAUAGCAGUGGAGAGUCUAGAGAAGGUGGUGGAAGAUGGAGAAGGGGAGUUCCGAAACGGGGUGAAGAUAAUGGAGAGGACUACAAUAACUUGGUACGUUUGAUUGGCUUUUGCAGUGAAGGAUCAAAUAGGCUUCUUGUGCAUGAGUUCAAGAUCAUUCAUUGUAACAUAUUUUCUUCUCUAGAGUUUAUAAUAAAUAAAUUAUUUGUAAGAAAACGAAGUUCAGUUGCAUUGUUGAUGGUGUUCCAAAAUUUACUAUGUUUAGAAAUGAGAAUUUUAAGUGUUUAAAUGAAUGAUGAUUAUACAUUCACUUCUAUAUUUUCUUGUUCACAAUUCAUAAAAUUGAUUGUUGGUGAUAAAAGACUUGACACUUAUAAAAUAGUUUUUUUUUUGUGGGGCUUAGGGGGCAUCUGAAUGAUAAAGUUAAUGACUUUUUAUAUGAGAUUAUAAUAAAUUAAGAAAAUAAGCUUUAAAUAAAAAAAUAAAUAAAAAUGUUUGUUCUUAUUUAUGUAUGAUAAAACACCUUGAAAAUAAGAAUAUAAACACUUUAAAGAAUAGAAAAAGUGUGAACCUUUUACUUGAAUGGUUCAGAGAAAUUUAUAAUGCCUGAACUUUGUUGUUUUUUUUAAGGGGUGGAUAGUCACUUCCUUUUGAAAAUGUAAAUGAGAAAAAACAUCUUACACAACAUUAAUUUUAAUGGAAAUAACCCUUACAUUAAUAUUGAUUGGAAUACGUAGGACUUGUAAGAGAUUUUUAUAUAUUAUUUUGUAUGUAACAUUAAUGUUGAUGGGAAUUGUCUUUAAUCAACAUUAAUUUUGAUUAGAAUAUGACAGGUUUUUGAAAGAUUUUUAUACACCUAAGAAUAUGACUAUCAUAGACUCUUAAUAUUUUAUGUUAAGAAUUAUAAAAUAGCUUUAUGACUCAAUAUAGGGCUUAUAAAAACUUUUAACCCCAUAUGUAUUUGCACCUAGAUUGAUUUUAAACUCAAGGGUUUUGAGUCAAAUAUUUUGUCAGACCCAUAGGAACUUGAGCUUUAGCGUCAGACCUAUAUUCACUCAGGCUUAACGCGUAGCUGAGUCCAAUGGUAUUUGGUCUGGAAUCUCGUCAAACUCACAUGUACUUGAGCUCAACACAUAAUUAAACUCAAGGGUGUUGGGUCAAGAAGCAAGCCAGACUCACAUCAUCUAGGUUAACACCUUGCUUUUGACCUUUUUUAUGAUUGGCUUCUUAAGCAAACAAAUUGUGUAUAAAAUAUACUAAUCUAGUAGUGGCCCCGUAAGGGUAUUUCUUCCAUCUUGCUUUUGAGUUAAGGUAUUCCAUCCAUUUUCAAGGAUUUAUGAGAGACAUCUUUAGGUAUUAUAAAUUGGGUUUAAGCCAAUUGCACCCCAAAUGAUGGGUGAUUUUAGGGGCGAGUAAAAAAAUUAAAAAACCAAUUAAACCAAGAAAACAAAAAAAAUAACAAAAAAAACUGAACGGUGAAAAAAACCAAAUUAAACUGAUUAGAAUGUUUAAAAAAAUUGACCGGUUUAGUUUUGGUUUCAUAAGCCUAUAUAUAUAUAAAUUGUGUCCAGCUUGCUAUGUGUGGAGUCAGUUGCACAACUCUUGGGUCCUAUGUCAAGAAUUGUGACUUAGGGCGUUUCUUUCUUUGCCAAAAGCUUCUGGCAGCCAAACCCAUAACACUUCCAAAACAUACCAAUAACCUUGGGUCUUGCUACCCAACAUGGCCUAAUAGUGUUGUGAAAGGCAUAGCCAAACCCAAAACACUUCAAAAAAGAACUGGGUUUGGUUGACCAGCCAAACCCAACAAUCUUAGGUCUGGCUCGGCAGCUAAACCCAACACCUUUUUGAAGUGUUUUGGGUAUAGCUCCACACUAUUGGGUCCUGUAGUAGGACCCAAUGCUAUUGGCACCUUCUUGGGUCUAAUUGGGUAGCCUGACCCAAUAUCUUUAGGUCCGGCUGUACAACCAUACCCAAAAUAGUUUUGGGUUCGACUGUUUAACAGGACACAAUAGGUUUGGGGACCAAAUAACACUAGGUCCAAACCAAAUUUUCUUGAGUCCAGUGUCCGGACGGUGUUGCACCUGAUACUAAUGGGUUCUGCGUCGCGACCCAAUUCUCUAGUGUCCAUGUUAGGACCCAUGGUUCAAGUAUCCGGCUUUAGGACCCGAUUGUAUUUUGUCCGCGUCAGGAGCCAAGUGUAAUGGGUCCUACUUUUGGACCUAAUUAUAUUGGUAUCGCAUGUGUGCGGUGUCGCGGCGAACUGGUUUCACUUUAAAUCUAAAAGUAAAUCUAUCAAGCAAAUAUGGGGAGACAAGAAAUUUUUGUCGCUUAUCGGUGGAAAAUGGAAUGUGAGUCGCCACCUAGUAUUUUGAUCACUAGGAACCCUAACUGGUCUCAGAGAUCGGGUACGGGACUGAUUGCGUAAAUGGAAGGUAUUAGUACCCCAAAUACGCUUUACCCAAGGUAAGCUGCAUUGUUUGAUUGUCUGAUAAAAGCUAAGGUGUUAUUGUAUUUCUAGUUGUUGGUCUGUCUAUGGUUCAAGAAAAAUCCUCCUCAAUAAAGAGGUCCUUAUCUUAUCGGGUAAAAACUUAAAUGUUCUAACGUCUAUAUGAAAACUAUAUUUUUAAUAUCAGGAAUGCGUUUUACGUAUAAAUUCGUAAUCCUAGAUACUAAAAGAAGACAAAAGGAUUUUUUUUGAAUUUUUGAAAUAUUGGCCUAGUUCUCAUGACUCUAACAAACUUGUUGUUAAAGCCAAAGUGCAUGCUAAUACAUAUAUAUUUUUUUGAAAUUUUUCCCUGUUGUAUGCAAAUAUAAUGUGAUGAUUUUUUAUAUAUAUUUUGGAGAGACUAGGCCGUAUGCAUGAAAACAAAACACUUUUUUAUUUUAUUAUAUAUUUUUUAUGCCUUGAUGAAAACCGGGUAUUUUAAUACUAGAUUUUUAUCUUUACGGUAUAAAAAUACAAACCAAUAUUAAGCAAUAAAAAUAUGCAGGAAAAUCAACAAUUUUUUUAAGGAUUUUUCAGAAUUUUGAAUAUAAAACAUUUUAUAUUUUAUAUUUUUUGAUGUAUUGAUGAAAACCAUGUAUUUUAAUACUAGAUUUGUAUCUUUACAGUAUAAAAAUAAAAACCAAUAUUGAUCAAAAUGCAGUAACAAUAUUGCGGAAAAUCACAAAUUUUUUGAAAUAAUUUUUGAAGAAUUUUGUUUUUUUUAUGGGUCGGGUCCAAUUCGGCCCAUGUGGCUGGGGCGGAACCAAUAGGCCUAACUAGGCUGGACCCGGCCCAAAAGAAGACCGGGCUGAAAUCAGCCUAAAAUAAAAUGGGCCUACCUUCUAUAGGGUUGGACUCAGCCCAGCCGUAGGGCUGGGCUUAUGUUCCAGCCCGAAACAAAUGUGGAGCACAGUCCAGUUAAUUAAUUAGCACAGUAACCAGCUAAUUAUUUUUCUUGCAAGAAGAUGAACAGUAAGAGGGUUGAGGGGAAGAGUUACCAAGGGUGAUGAGCUUGGACGGAGGAGCUCUUCCUCUUCUCUGCUGUUUUUGACGUUGCUUCUUCUCUUGGUUUCCUUUGUUCCCUCUGUUAACGAUAUUCUUCCUUCUCUGCAGCGGCUUCGUGGAGGUGCUGGUGGUGGCGACCUGGGGAGGGGCUGAGAAGGUGGUUUGGCGAUGUUGUUGCUGCAGUUUUUUUUUCCUUCGUAGAGGCGCAGGUUCCUGUUUUUUCUUCAAUGGUGUUGUAGCGUGUGGGAGGAAGAUGAUGAGCUGAGGAAGGAUGACGAUGGCGUGGGCAGUGCUGUUGUGUUUGUGUUCCUGGUGGCGUUGUUGUCGGGGUAUCCGGCUGUGGUCGCUCUUCCUCCUCUCUUCUGUCGUUACUUCUCUCUGUUUAUGUCACCUUGUUUCUCUGCUUCUUCUUCGCUAGCUCUAAAAGGAAGGCAGGCGGUUGUAGUGUGGUUUCAAACGGUGGAGAGAGAGAGAGAGCAGAGAGAGAGGUUACCGUUCUUCUCUUCCCCUCUAUUUUCCUUCUUUCUCUUCUGCCAUGUUUCUCACCUCUCUAUCGUCUUUCGUUAAAAAAAAAACUCUCCCCCUUUCUCUCUUGUUUUUUUUUCCGUCUCUUGUUCAAAAAACAAAAUUGACCCUUCUGUCUCACAAAAAACCUCCCUCCUCUGUUUUGGUUUCUCUCUUCUCUACACUCUCACAGUACCUCUUCUCGUUUCAAACUUCCCUAUCCUUUCAGUUUCCAAAAGCCCUGCCCCUCAUUCUGGUGUUGGGCGCAAUAUUUAUAGAGCAAAGAAAAAGCGUCUUGCUGUCGCGCAUGGGAAGCAGGAGACACCGGGUGAGGUCUCCAACAGGCGUGGCUUUGCAGGGCACGUCUACACUGUUUUCUAGCCAUGGAAUUUUAGGUUUAUGCAGCAGCAUGCAGGGAGAGAGAAGUUUCUCAAAAUGACACUAUUUUUUUUUUUUUGAUAGGGUAUUGAAAAAUGAGUUACAACAAUUGGGAUAUAUGUCAGGAUUCAAUUCUCUUGGGUCCUACAUAGUUUAAGAUUAAUGAAUUUUAGAUUUUUAAAUAUUAUUAUUUAUGUUAUAAAUAUUAUUAUUUUUAUUAUAAUUAAAAAUAUUAAUAUAAAAAUAUUGUUUUUUGUGCUAUAAAUAUUAUUAUUUUUAUUAUAAUUAAUUUUAUUAAUAAAAUAAUUAAUAAAUUUUAAAAAAAAUUAUUAUUAAUAUUGAAAAUCAACCAUAGAUUUGAUUUGAAAUGUAAAAUUGAAAAUUUUUAUUGUUAUCAUUAAUAAAAAAAAAUUAAAAAAAUUAUUAUUACUAUUGAAGAAAACCCAUAAUUUUUCAAAAAGAUUAACAAAUAUAAGAAUUUAGACAGACAAGUUAAAUAUUAUUACUUAUAUUAUAAAUAUUAUUGUUGGGUUUGUCAUUACAGUCAGACUCGACUCCUUUAAUUUUUCUGUUUCAACCAGACCCAAAGCUUUUGAGCCAUAUAUUUUUUUCAUAUUUUUUAUUAAAAUAAAACGUUGGCUGCAAUAUAGUGCAGGCCACCUAACUAAUAAUGGACUCCAAAUAAAUUAAUUCUGCUUCAAGGAAAACAAACAUAUUAAAAUCAUAAAAACAUUUUACUAUAAAAUAUUAUACAGAAUAAACGUAACUUACUCUAAAUUUCCUCAAACAAUCUUGCAUUGCAAGAUUAAAUGGGCAGUAACAACGCCAGGAAAGCUUUCUUGUGGAUUUAAACACAUUUUUCUAUUCCUCUUAAUUAUGGGAGGGGGGAGCUAUCUUCUGCUGUGUAGGAAGAUCUGAUGAAACAAAGGAACAAUUGUUUUCAUUUUACCAAAAACAUAUUUAGUGGAAGACAACCCUGCCAUCACUGGUGAAGAGCAAGGUCGCAUUACUGGGGACUGGGGCGUCAUCCCUUCUAGCAGCCCACACAACAGUCUUUAGUGAAAUCCCGGAUAGAAAAACCCCAAUAGAAUAGCCGUCGCGUUGUCGGAAAAAUCCGAAAGCAUGAAGACCAGAAGGUGACAACCAUAAGGAGUUUGGGUUAGGUGUUAGAGAAGAUCCGAGGGUUAUAUUGGUCUGUCUUUGAGCUGAAGCUGUAAAAGAUAAGGCGAGAAGAAGAAAAAAGAUGAUAGAAGCCAUGGAUAGGGAUUUAGCUCUUGUGUGGUAUGUGAGUGUCAAAAUAAGGAUGUCUAUUGUUCCAGCACUCCAUUAUCUUUCUGUGGUUUCCAGCAGUCAAGCCAGGCACUCAAAACAUAAAAGUCUAGCCAUAGAAUCCACCGCGUUUCCCUACCAAUUGGUGGAAAUUGUUGCUCUUACUUUUAUGCUUUCAAAGUCAAUGCAGUCAACUCACCGAAAAAACUUGGCAAUUACUUGGCGCUGGUCCCCCUUUUCGAUCUUGGUAUCCCCCAUUUGAUCAGCCAUUUGCUAAUUUCCCCUGGACUGUUCUUGGUUCUAAUUUUCUGCAGCAGAUUCUUUUUUAUUUGUCAAGUACCAUCAAUAUGCUUUUGAUAACACAAUCUUGAGCUUCCUGCAGACAGCUUCAACUACUUGAGAGAUGCCAAUUGUGGUGCUAAUGCUAAUACCCCGCCAUAAUACUAGGGCAAGGCAGAACAAAUGGAUUAUAUUCAUGUCCUUCGAUGCAAAAGGCUAGAUAGCAACGUCACUUUCUAACAAAAGAUCAUGUUAUAAUUAACCCUUAUGGACAACUUAAUUAGUUUAUGGACAACUUAAUUAGUCCUUUCUUGAGUUUUUUUUUCAAUAAUCAUGAGUUUGAGUUCUUUCAGAAUCAUUAAAAGUUUACAUGAUCAUUAAAUUAAGAAUAUGUGGGAUUAGUCGAGAUGAGCACAAGUUAAUCCGGACAUCAACGUUAACAAUAAAAAAAAAAAAUCAUGUUAUAAUUUAUAUGUGAAAAGUAGGGAUUUUGAAUUCGGGUAAUCUCAACAAGGUUGUACUUUUCUUUCUCCAGGUCAACUUGGAUCUUCCUCUGUUCUCAUGUUUAGCUUCCUGCAAGAACAUUCCUUCCGAGGCACAUUUUUCCUGAAAUUAUACUAUAUAUGGGAACUUUCAAGUUUUGUUUGAAAUAAAACUUUUAUUUGCUUCCUCACGAUUUCAUUUUAGUCUCGAAUUUAAGAUAUUUUUUCGUAAAUACACUAGUUUGGAUAUGAAUGGCCAGCGUGAAACUUCAUAGAAGAUGGACCGUUGAUUCUAUGGUUUUUUCCACACGUAUUUUGCAGGAACAGCAAGUGGACGUAUGAGUAAAGUAAUGUAUCUCUUGUCCUUGGCUGUAACCGGUCUUUCUUUAUCUUGUAAUAACAAGGUGAGUUCGAUUGAGGGUUCCGCUGUAUGACUAUAUUCAGAGUAUAAUUAAGGUGGUCACAACAGGGACUGAGUCAAUGUACAACCGAGCAUUUGCUGGCAGGCUCUUCUCAGCAAAAAUGUCUUCUCUUACUAGCUUCAAAGCCAGUGGUGUAUCCUCAAUACAAGUUGUUGCAACUCUGAAGAACAUAUUGCUAGUAUUUGUUGAGACUUGAGAAUAACAUUACCCAUCUAGAAACCUGGCCAAAAUAUAGGUUUCAGUUUUCCAGCCAUAAUCCCGACACAUGAGAUAAGGUGGGAAACAACUUUACAGGCAUUAACAUUAGAAGAAAAAUCAACAGGAAGCUAUGCUGCGUAAACAUAAAGGAACUCAGUACGAAAUAGCAAUUUUAUAAAGAAAAGGAAUACAUGACCUGAAAAAUAAAAUACCACACCCUGCAGAUGAAUCUCUUAUUCCGAACCACAAAACGCAGCUCAUAUAGCAGUAAAAAAAGAAGUAGGACUUGGAGGGAUUGGGAUUUCGACUGUCCCCUCCAACAUGAGGAGUACCUUUUUCAUUGAAGGGCGGAGGGAUAGCUCAUCAAGAGUGCACCAAAGUCCCACUUUAACCAUCCUAUCUAACUGUUUCUUUUCGACGAUUUCAUCACCCACAAGUUUGUCCAUAUCACCGUCCAGAAAACAUUGGUAAACCCACUGUUCGAGAACAGCUUCAUCCUCUGGAAGACUCCAAUCCACAUUCUUUCGACAACAUGUGAUCUCCAACAACAUAACUCCAAAGCUAUAAACAUCUGCUUUAACUGUCACCGGCAUAUUCCGGUGCCAUUCUGGUGCUACAUAUCCCCUCGUCCCUCUGAUUCCCGUGAAGGUAUUAGUUUGGUCUGACUUCAGAAUUUUUGCCAAUCCAAAGUCAGAAACUUUGGGGCACCUGCUUUCAUCUAUUAGUAUAUUCUGAGGUUUUAUAUCACAGUGGAUGAUCUGAGUCUCGCACUCUUCAUGUAGAUAAACAAUACCCCUUGCAAUGUUGCGAGCAAUUUCCAACCUUUCAUGGAAGCAAGGUCGUUUUUCAAGUGAGAAGAGUAUGUCAGCGAGGGAGCCAUUGCUCAUGUACUCGUAUACCAGGAGCCUGUGAUGUUCAUCAUGGCAAUAGCCGAGCAGACGGGCUAGGUUUCUGUGAUGUGUUUUCCCAAUGACUUUCAUCUCAUUCUGAAAUUCUCUUUCCCCUUCAGCUAGAACUUUCUCCAGUCUCUUGACAGCAACAACCUUCUGAGUACUUGAUAUGAUCCCUUUAUAAACUGUCCCAAAUGAUCCCCUGCCAAUUUCUUCCUUGAAACCACCAGUAAUAUUUUCUAGCUCUGCAUAAGUGAAAGCUCGAGGAGCAAAUAACCAAGUAAUACAAUAAAUAUAGCAUAAUAGUUUAAGGAAGAUUGCAAGUAGAUCUAACGACAACAUUAAUAGUUGCAUAUGUGUGUGUGUGAAGAUUCAAAAAAACCUAAUUUAGAAAAUACAAAAAAAAAAACCAAGUAAUGAUAGAAAAAUAGAAAGAAAAGUAUUAAAUUCUGUUUAGAUUGUUCACCUAACAAUUUAAAUUUAUUUAAAUUCUAUAUAGAUAUUGUAUUGCGAUUGGUCACGUACCGGUUUGGAUCCAUUUAGAUUUUGAUUUGGUUACCUAACAAUUAAAAUCCAUUUCAAUUUUCAUGUAUUAUCUUUUUAUAUAUAUAUAUAUAAAUUUAUUGUACAAAUAUAAUGGAAAAUGAAUUAUAACUGUUGUAAUCCAUUUUUUAUCUCUAAUUUUUCACAUGUAUUUUCAAAAAUAGAACAAAUCUUCCAAAAUAUAUUUUCAAUGAAAUUCAAUUAUUAUUUAUUUAUUAUUAUUUUUGUGUGCGUGACAAUAUAGAAAAAUAAAAAUAAAAUAAAAUUAAGGAAAUGAAAUGAAAGGCAAGAAAAACUUCAGACCGGUAUGAUUGAUGACUAAAUAAUAUAUGGAAAAUCAAGAUGAGAUUGGAAAAUUUUUGCAAAAAAUCAAUAAGAAGAUGAAAUAAAAUUUUAUAAUAGUAGUUUUCCUGUUUUGAGAGUAUCCCACAAACAACAUAUAUAAACAUGAGAGAACACUACACACACAAGUACACAGAGAUAGAGAGAUUAAAAAAGACAAGUAUACUUUUGGGCUCGUUCUUGGAGCUUACAAGCAAGUUCCAUAUAGGAAAAACCUUGGUCAACAAGAAGAAAAAAUGGCAAAAAUUAGAUUGCUCUCUGCAAGCGUAAUUCAAGCCACUGCUAACAAGGUGACAAAUGAGAGGGCUGAGUUGACUCAAUGUGAUCUAAAGCUUCUUCCGCUAGGUGCUUCUCUUCCUCAAACCCAAAUCAUCAGAAGAUCAAGACUUGUUCAUCCAACAGUUGAAAACGUCACUUUCUCGGACUCUAGAUUUCUUCACCCCUCCCGUGUUGGAAGUUAAAACCGGUGUGGUAUGGGAUCAACACAGUAAUACAAGAUAAAAAAAACUCAAGAACAAAGCUAAACAACAAGAAAAAGAAGGAGAGGAAGCUUGUUAGCCACUGUAGAACAUGAUGAUAACACAGUCUCCAAUUUCAUUGACUGCAAAAAUGCAGGAGCCCAGUUUGUUCAUGGCGCCAUGGCCGAUGGGGUAACCAUGGCUGACAUCCUCCGGCCAGUUUAUGUUCCUCCAAUUGUCCACUCUUUCUUUCCAUUGAAAGGGGUCCUAAACCACGGGGCUACUGAUGUCUCCAAGCCAUUGCAUGCCUGCAGUUCAAGUCACUGAACUUGUUGGUGGCAUCUUUAAUGGCUGUACCAUGAACCAUAUAGUUGUUGAUGGCACAUCGUUUUGAAAUUUCUUCAACUCUUGGUCUGAAAUCCAUCGUGGGUUGGAUCACAUCUCCAAGCCUCCUGUUCUUGAACGUUGGUCACCUCCCAAUCGUAGCUGCAGCUGCCUGAUCCAAAAGCAAUAAGCCGUUGCCUGCAUGCUUGUACCUUUUUUUUCUCCAAAAAAAUGGGUGUAUAAGGGGUAGUUUUUCCAGGCGUAAGACACGUCAUCCAUUAGUGUAUUUCCCGGUUAUUUUCAGUCCUAUAAAUGCAAGGUUUGAUUUACUAUAUCCCUAAAGCUUGAUUUUUAAGUAAUAUUCACCUGAAAACAUCCAAACAAAACUCAAUAAAUCUUUUUUGAAUCCAAAAUUAUCCUCUAAUCAUUCUAAAAAUUAAAAAUCAAACCAAAUGAAAAAAACAUUACAAGCCUUAAAGGGUGUUUGAGAGUGUGGUAGCGGUUGCUUUUCAAAUAGCUUUUCGUGCCGAAAAGCAUGCCAAUAAUAUUUUUUUAUUUUUUAAAAAUCAUUUUUGACAUUAGCACAUCAAAACGAUCCAAAAAAUACAAACCGCACUCAAUUUUAGCAAAAAAUAAAAAUAAAUUUUUUUUGAAUUUUUUCAAAAAGCCGAUUUGGCCGCAAUGCCAAACAGGCAAUUAAUCAAUCUAUCUGUCUAUAUAUAUAUAAAACUGAAAUAUAUAUAAAAAUUGAAAAUUGAAGAUUGCACUAUAUAUAACUAAAGAGUGCAAUUUACAUUGAAGAGGGAAAGUUCUUGCUUUUUUUUUUUUAAUUAUUAUUAUUAAUGUUGAUGUUCGGAUUAGCUUACUCGUACCUCAAUUAAUUUAAAAUGUUCUAAAAUUAACGACCAUGUAAACUCUUCUAGUGAUUCUAAGAUUUAUAAAAUUCAAACCGAUGAUUUUUAAAAAACAAGUCUAGAGUCUAAUUAAUUAAACUAUACCUUUUAAAAUUAAGUUAUUAUUCUUUUAUUCAUAUUGAUUAUUGACAUUUAGCGAAGAUUUGUUUUUUAAAAAUUCAUGUUUGCAUGACUCUCUAAAAGACCCUACACAAGUUCGAUUUUUCUUUUCUUUCAAUUAGAUUUUUUUUUUCUGUUUUCACUUUAAUUAAAUAGAGUCAGGUUGAGCAUCAUAUAUAUUGCACGAUACUCAUCUUAAUGAAAAUAGGAUGAGACUUGGCUAUUAUUUUUUCUAUUAACAAGCUUUAAUAACGUAAUUAUAAUGUAUGUGAAUGAUUGAAUUAUAUUUAAUCGAAUUGUCUAAAUGCAAUGAAUAUAGCAUUAAACUGACUAAAUUCUUUUCAUAAGGGUUUAUUUACUUAUUUAACAAUAAUUUUUAAACUUAAUCCCACAAUUAAUUUGAAUAAGUUUUAGAUCACGAGUCUAUUUAUUUUUUAUUUUAUAAAUGAUAAAAAUAAUAUUAUUUAAAAAAAUAAUAAGUUUUAAUUAAGCUUUUUUUAGAUUGACCAGAUUAUUGGUCAAACCAAGUUUUUUAUCUAGUCAUAUUGAGCUAAGUCUUCUUUUAUUUUUAUUGAAAUUGACUUAAUUAGAUAUCAAAUCACAACUCAACCCUUUAGUCUGUUGAAGUUUUAAAUUAAUGGAUUUAACACAAAUACAAGGUUUGAAUGGGGCUUCUCCAAGGAAAACUCGAAUAAGAGAGCUAUGUUUAGAUGGUGUUUGUGUGUGAGUUUUAAUUAAUUAAUUUUAUUAAAAUUUGAAUUUUUUUAAUUAUUAUUUUAGUAUUUUUUGAUUGUUUUAAUAUGGUGAUAUUAAAAAUAAAUUUUAAAAAAGAAAAAAAUAUAUAUUUUUAAUAUUUUUCAAAUACAAAAUAUUUAAAAAAAAUUAUUGAUAGACUGUUAAAUACUCUUUCAAAUAAAAAAUAUUUUUAAAAAAUAUAUUAAAAGCCCCCUUUAAGCUUACCAAAACCUCAGAGCAAAAAACAAGAAAGGAAAAGAGUAAAACAAAAUGGCUCCAGCCAAGAAAGGAAAACCGAAGGCAAACUCGGCCGUGUCAACUCAGUCAAAACCCACAGCCCCAAGUCCCCAAAACAAUUUCCCAUCUUGCAUACGUGCAGUCCCUCCUUCCUCCGUCGCCAUCACCAUCCACGCCAAACCCGGUUCCAAAUCCGCCUCCAUCACUGGUGGGUCUAUACACACGUGCAAAAGGACUGUUUUGAUUCUUGUUUAGGUUAAAAAAUUAAAGCUUCAAUGUGUUUUUUUCUUCCUGAUAUUGUAUGUAGAUUUGAGUGAUGAAGCGGUGGGAGUACAAAUAGAUGCACCUGCUAAAGAUGGUGAAGCUAAUGCUGCACUUCUUGAUUACAUUAGCUCUGUAAGUCUUUUUUUUUUCCCUUACGUUAUAAGUUGGUUAUUCGUUUUUAAUGUUUUGUGAUAGAGAAUUAUUGGCUUAAUUUUCGAGAAUUUUACAGGCAUGUGUGAUGUUAAUCAAUGCCUGUCAAAUUUUUUGAUGUUUCGGUACUACGCAUAUGGAGAGAAAUAUUUUGAGUUGGUACAGUUUUGGCUGAAUUUUCUAGAGGAAAGGAGAUUUGUAGCAUGAGGUCGGGAGACGAAAGUGGCUUUUUUUUUUUUUGGAGAGAAACGGUAGAACGGAUUCUUACGGUUCAUCAAAUUUUACAGGCAUGUGUGAUGUUAAUCAUUGCCUGUCAAUUUUUUUGAUGUUUUGGUACUACGCAUAUGGAGAGAAAUAUUUUGAGUUGGUACAGUUUUGGCUGAAUUUUCUAGAGGAAAGGAGACUUGUAGUAUGAGGGCGGGGGAUGAAAGUGGCCUUUUUUAUAUUUUUUUGGAGAGAAAUGGUAGAACAGAUUCUUACAGUUCAUGAAUUAAUUAGAGAGGGUUUUAUUUUGUCUUUGGGCUUGCAUGCAAAAGGAAUGGUGAAUCUAUAGUCCUUAUAUUUAGCCUAUCAGUAUUUUGAUGAUGGAUUUGCUGGAUUCUAGACAUGCGCAAUGAGUUAGAAAACAGCAUCAAUGUGCUUAAUGUAGAGUAUUUGGAAGCAGUCAAAUAUUGAUGCUUUUUUUGGGAUCAUGGCUCGUGUCCUUGAGAUUAUUUUGAAAGAGGGUUAUGCUGGCACUUUGUUAACUUCUAUUGGGAGUUUUUAUUAUGAUAGUGUAUCUGGCAUUUUCCUAUUUCAUCAAGUUGGUGUAAGUAUUUGAUGCAAGUUGAGGAUUGAGUUAAUUUUGAACGCAUAUGGUAAUAAUAAUUUUUUUACUGACCUUUUGAAACCAUGAAUUGCUAGGAAGAGUUUGAAAUUGAAAGAGGAUGAAAGAGUAAAUGCAUUAAGAGAGAGGAUGCGAUUUCAUGAGUGAUAUAAUCAACUGGGAUCCCUGGCUUAGCCCAAUAGUAGAUGAAAAGCUUCUCUCUUCCAUAGGAUAAGUGUGAUUUAGAGCAUUUAAUCUUCUGAAAAAAUAAUAAUGAGGUGUUUACUGUUCAAUCACAACUGUAAACAUGGUUGAAUAACUGAAGAGAGUUAUUUAUGAAAAUUAACAAAUUCUUGUCGUGAUAUCUUGCAUUUAGAUAGAGAACCUCCUCUGUUUUAGUACAGAAAAGGUUCACAAGUAUGGUUCUCUCAACCAACAGGUGUUGGGGGUGAAGCGGAGGCAGGUAUCCAUAGGCUCUGGUUCUAAAUCGAGAGACAAGGUGGUGAUUGUGGAGGAGGUAACUCUACAAAAUGUUUUUGAUGCUUUGGAGAAAGUGUCCAAAUGCUGCUAAUUUAAAAAGAAGAAGAGAGGUUCAGUGUGCUUUCGUUAACAAGAGAUAUGAUUUACAUGAUCUUAUACUGAACACAAGGUAUUUGGAUAGGACAACAUUCCUAGUCCACGCUGAUGUUUAAAAUAGUUUGGUCUGUAGUUUUGUUUCUUCUAUCUCACACUGAAACAAUAAUCUUUUUAUUUAAAACUGUAAGUACAGAAGCUGUAGUGUUACUUAUGAAUAUAAUGACUGAUGUUCCAUGAAUAUUCAAGUUAGAUGCUAAUUUAUUCAUCUUCACCAUGGUUCUUCUAGUUCUCAUUUUUCUUUAUGAUUUCUUCCCCCUUUUUUCUUAUGAAUUUCACUAAGAGAUCAUUAUAGCUAUACUUUUGCACGACAGGCUUGCUAAUACCUAGCGACAUGCUGUGAAAACCAUCUUAUUUUGUCCUCCAGCUUUUGAUUCUUCUGGCUGUUUUGCCAUUAAUAAUGCUAGAUUUAAGGUUUAGGUCCGCUGUUGUUAUUACCUGAUUUUUGUGUAAUUCGCCUAUAAAUGAAAUUACUCUCUAGUGAUAAAAGGAAUGGAGUGCAGAUAUUGUGUCAUGAACAAAAGGCUAGUAUUUGUUUAUUGCAGGAGCAAGAGAAGUCUCGGCUCAUACUUGGCCAGGAAAACAUUUAUCUUUUUCACACUGUAUAAGCAUUUUGUCAUGAGGGUAAUCUUAUUGAUUAAGAAUCAUCUAUCAGAAGUGGAGUAUCCUCAAUACAAGUUGUUGCAACUCUGAAGAACAUAUUGCUAGUAUUUGUUGAGACUUGAGAAUAGCAUUACCCAUCUAGAAACCUGGCCAAAAUUAUAGGCUUCAGUUUUCCAGCCAUAAUCCCGACACAUGAGAUAAGGUGGGUAACAACUUUACAGGCAUUAACAUUAGAGGAAAAAUCAACAGGAAGCUCCCAAAUGCUGCGUAAACAUAAAGGAACUCAGUACGAAAUAGCAAUUUUAUAAAGAAAAGGAAUACAUGACCUGAAAAAUAAAAUACCACACUCUGCAGAUGAAUCUCUUAUUCCGAACCACAAAACGCAGCUCAUAUAGCAGUAAAAAAAGAAGUAGGACUUGGAGGGAUUGGGAUUUCGACUGUCCCCUCCAACAUGAGGAGGACCUUUUUCAUUGAAGGGCGGAGGGAUGGCUCAUCAAGAGUGCACCAAAGUCCCACUUUAACCAUCCUAUCUAACUGUUUCUUUUCGACGAUUUCAUCACCCACAAGUUUGUCCAUAUCACCGUCCUGAAAACAUUGGUAAACCCAUUGUUCGAGAACAGCUUCAUCCUCUGGAAGACUCGAAUCGACAUUCUUUCGACAACAUGUGAUCUCCAACAACAUAACUCCAAAGCUGUAAACAUCUGCUUUAACUGUCACCGGCAUAUUCCGGUGCCAUUCUGGUGCUACAUAUCCCCUAGUCCCUCUUAUUCCGGUGAAGGUUUUAGUUUGGUCUGACUUCAGCAACUUUGCCAAUCCAAAGUCAGAAACUUUGGGGCACCUGCUUUCAUCUAUUAGUAUAUUCUGAGGUUUUAUAUCACAGUGGAUGAUCUGAGUGUCGCACUCUUCAUGUAGAUAAACAAUACCCCUUGCAAUGUUGCGAGCAAUUUCCAACCUUUCAGGGAAGCAAGGUCGUUUUUCAAGUGAGAAGAGUAUGUCAGCGAGGGAGCCAUUGCUCAUGUACUCGUAUACCAGGAGCCUGUGAUGUUCAUCGUGGCAAUAGCCGAGCAGACGGACUAGGUUUCUGUGAUGUGUUUUCCCAAUGACUUUCAUCUCAUUCUGAAAUUCUCUUUCCCCUUCAGCUAGAACUUUCUCCAGUCUCUUUACAGCAACAACCUUCUGAGUACUUGAUAUGAUCCCUUUAUAAACUGUCCCAAAUGAUCCGCUGCCAAUUUCUUCCUUGAAACCACCAGUAAUAUUUUCUAGCUCUGCAUAAGUGAAAGCUCGAGGAGCAAAUACCUCAUUCAAUGCAGUGCCAUCAUUAUUGGGCACCCUUUUAUAUGCCAAUACAUGAUAUCUGUAAACGAUGAUUCCGAAAAUCGACACCAUAGCAAGCCCAAAAACAACAAAUGAACCACUUAUUAUUCGGAUAGUCCUGCCACUGCCAAGGUUCUUCUCGGUUAUAGGCUCUUUUCUGUCCAUGGGUCUACCCACCUUGACGACAGCCAAGUUCGAACUGUCCAAGUUUCUCCUCCCAUAUCUCAAAGGAAACCUUUGCUUUCUGCAGUACUGCCCAUCAGUGAAUAAUGCUGCUUCACAGUUACAGUCUUCCAAACAGGCUUGCUUACAAUUGUCUUUCGUUGUUGAUGACAAAACGGAGUAUGAAACAUCUUCCCAGACAAUAUUAGACAGCUCUUCCAUGGUGUAUGUGCUACUUCCAUUCUUGUCCCUUGCAACUUACAGCAUCGAAAUCCCUCUCACAGCCAGAAGUCCAAUUUCCCUGGGUAACAAACUUAAAUCCAGGAAGACAAAUACAUUCAGCUUCCUGAUCCUUCAUAACACAAUAUCCAUUAAGACCACAUGAUCCUUUCGGGUCGCACUUGUUGCUUGUGGAUGACCACACAUCUGACCAGUUUCCAUUCCGUAUCAGAUUUCGUGAAUAUAAUCUGAAAAUCCCAUCAGCAUCAAGUUUCAUAAUAUUAAUUGUUUCUUUCGUGGGAUAUCCUCCAGCUGUAAUGUUUUUUAUGUUGAAUCCUGUGGAAUUGAGCAGGUAGAGACGGCCAUCCGGAUCAAGAUUUAGGGUCACAUCAUCUCCCUUCCCAUCAGUAAAAGAUGAAAAAUAAGAAUAUGGAGCUGUAUCUGGAGUAUUAACAGGAUACUGCACAAGGUUGCCAUCAUUUUGCAUCUUGAGUCGGUAAAUACCAGUUGAGAGGUCAGUUUCUGAAACAGGAGAAAACAGCUCUGCACCCGCUUUGAGCUGUUGAGUUGGCAAAAGGGUAUCUGUUGGGUGCUCAAAACUCUGCCAUAUAAUCUGGCGAUCAGAAUUAUAUAGCACAAAGUUGCCUGAAUCAGACAUAGAAGCUAAAGAAGCUGGCUGGGAAGCAGAAACUAUCGCAGUCUCACCCCCUUGUGCUGAUGUCAAGACAACCCUGCCAUCACUGGUGAAGUUCAAGGUCGCAUUACUGGGGACUGGGGCAUCAUCCCUUCUAGCAGCCCACACAACAUUCUGUAGUGAAAUCCCGGAUAGAAAAACCCCUAUAGAAUAGCCAUCGCGUUGUCGGAAAAAUCCGAAAGAAUAAAGACCGGAAGGUGACAACCAUGAGGAGUUUGUGAUAGGUGUUAGAGAAGAUCCCAGGGUUAUAUUGGUCUGUCUUUGAGCUGAAGCUGUAAAAGAUAAGGCGAGAAGAAGAAAAAAGAUGAUAGAAGCCAUGGAUAGGGAUUUAGCUCUUGUGUGGUAUGGAGUGUCAAUUUAAGGAUGUCUAUUGUUCCAGCACUCCAGUCUCUUUCUUUGGUUUCCAGCAGUCAAGCCAGGCACUCAAACAUAAAAGUCUAGCCAUAGAAUCCACCGCGUUUCCCUACCAAUUGGUGGAAAUUGUUGCUCUUACUUUUAUGCUUUCAAAGUCAAUGCAGUCAAGUCACCGAAAAAUCUUGGCAAUUACUUGGCUCUGGUCCACUUUUUCCAUCUUUUGUAUCCCCCAUUUGAACAGCCAUUUGCUAAUUUCCCCGUGACUAUUCUUGGUUCUAAUUUUCUGCAGCAGAUUCUUUUUAUUUGCCAAGUACCAUUCAAUACGCUUUGAAGACACGAUCUUUAGCUUCCUGCAGACAGCUUCAACUAGUUAAGAAACAUCGAUUGUGGUGCCAAUGGUAAUACCCUGGCAUUAUACUAGGGCAAGACAGAACAACUUGCUAGCUUAUAGAAAUGUCCCUCAAAUGCUAAAGCCUAGCUAGCAACCUCAGUUUCUAACGAAAGAGCAUCUCUACAUGUUGCGUAACUAACAAUCCCUUGAAUAUUAAAACUGAAAAGUGGAACUCAUUGGACCGUUGAUUUUAUGAUCAAUUCCACCGUACGACUUAAUUCAGAGUACAAUUGAGGUGGUCACGGCAAGGACUGAGUCAAGGGACAACCUAGCAUUUGCUGACCUGCUCUUCUCAGCAAAAGCUUCUUCUCUCACCAGCUUCAUGCCAUGGUUGCUGAUUGGAGGGGCUUUAUAAUUUAUUUAUUACAAAUGUGCUAUGAAAAAGAAAAAAAAUGCUAUGAUAUUAAAAAAAAAAAAAGAAUUUCCUCGUAGCUAUGAUAUUUGUGAUAUUAAUUAUGUUACACUUGUGAUCAUGUUGAUGAGAAUAAUAAUAAAUUCAUAUCGUUUUAGUAAUGUUUAUGUUAGCAAGUAAUGCUACUGAAGGUAAAGAAGCUGUGACGAAGAUGAUGGUGAUGUAAUGGUAAUGACGAUUAAAGUGAUUCAAAAAUAUUUUUCUUUUGAUAAUUUAUUAGUGUAUAUAUUUCAAAUGUUUAAGAUAUUUUUCAAAUAAAUGUACCUUAACUAUGAUAAAUGAUAUAUUCUCCGUUUGUUUGCAAUUUGAUUGUAAAGGCUUCCUUUUAACAUAAUUCUGCUUGAUAUACUCCAUGUAAUUACAAACUAAUUAGCUCAUUUUGGUCUUCUCACUUCUGGCAAUUAGUCAGUUUGAUGGCAACGUGCAACAAUGUACGGUCACCAACUGUUGUAUUGGACUUCGAUUCACCAAUAAUGCCCUGCAACUGAGUUUGAGCGUAGGAAUGGACAUUUGCAUUUUAGGCAAGGAAUUGCCUUGUAGAAUAGAAGAAGAAGAAGAAGAAGAAGGGGAAAAAACAAGCAAAGAUCAUAGUCUCAUUAAUUCUAUUCUUCGUAAAGAGCUCACUCUUGAGAUAACAUAAGAUCAACAAACGUUGUUUGUACUAAGAACACGUGAAGCUUUCAUGCUAACAUUUUCUUUUCUCCUCUUUAUAAAACUUUUUUUUUAAUAUAUAAGAUACGAUGGGAAACAACUUUACAGGCAUUAACAUUAGAAGAAAAAUCAACAGGAAGCUCCCAAAUGCUGCGUAAACAUAUAGCAAUUUUAUAAAGAAAAGGAAUACAUGACCCGAAAAAUAAAAUACAACACUCUGCAGAUGAAUCUCUUAUUCGGAACCACAAAACGCAGCUCAUAUAGCAGUAAAAAAAGAAGUAGGACUUGGAGGGAUUGGGAUUUCGACUGUCCCCUCCAACAUGAGGAGGACCUUUUUCAUUGAAGGGCGGAGGGAUGGCUCAUCAAGAGUGCACCAAAUUCCCACUUUAACCAUCCUAUCUAGCUGUUUCUUUUCGGCGACUUCUUCGCCCACAAGCUUGUCCAUAUCACCGUCCUGAAAACAUUGGUAAACCCACUGUUCGAGAACAGCUUCAUCUUCUGGAAGACUCCAAUCCACAUUCUUUCGACAACAUGUUAUCUCCAACAACAUAACUCCAAAGCUGUAAACAUCUGCUUUAACUGUCACCGGCAUAUUCCGGUGCCAUUCUGGUGCUACAUAUCCCCUCGUCCCUCUGAUUCCGGUGAAGGUUUUAGUUUGGUCUGACUUCAGCAACUUUGCCAAUCCAAAGUCAGAAACUUUGGGGCACCUGCUUUCAUCUAUUAGUAUAUUCUGAGGUUUUAUAUCACAGUGGAUGAUCUGAGUGUCGCACUCUUCAUGUAGAUAAACAAUACCCCUUGCAAUGUUGCGAGCAAUUUCCAACCUUUCAGGGAAGCAAGGUCGUUUUUCAAGUGAGAAGAGUAUGUCAGCGAGGGAGCCAUUGCUCAUGUACUCGUAUACCAGGAGCCUGUGAUGUUCAUCAUGGCAAUAGCCGAGCAGACGGACUAGGUUUCUGUGAUGUGUUUUCCCAAUGACUUUCAUCUCAUUCUGAAAUUCUCUUUCCCCUUCAGCUAGAACUUUCUCCAGUCUCUUUACAGCAACAACCUUCCGAGUACUUGAUAUUAUCCCUUUAUAAACUGUCCCAAAUGAUCCCCUGCCAAUUUCUUCCUUGAAACCACCAGUAAUAUUUUCUAGCUCUGCAUAAGUGAAAGCUCGAGGAGCAAAUUCCUCAUUCAUUCCCGUACUAUCAUUACUGGGCACCUGUUUAUAUGCCAAUACAUGAUAUCUGUAAACGAUUAUUCCGAAAAUCACCACCAUAGCAAGCCCAAAAGCAACAAAUGAACCACUUAUUAUUAGGAUAGUCCUGCCAGUGCCAGGGUUCUUCUUCUCGGUUAUAGGCUCUUUUCUGUCCAUGGUGGAUAUGGGUCUGCCCACCUUGACGACAGCCAAGUUCGUACUUCCUAAGUUUCUCCUCCCAAAUCUCAAAGGAAGCCUUUGCUUUCUGCAAUACUGCCCAUCAGUGAAUAAUGCUGCUUCACAGUUACAGUCUUCCAAACAGGCUUGCUUACAAUUGUCUUUAGUUGUUGAUGACAAAACGGAGUAUGAAACAUCUUCCCACUCAGUACUAGACAGCUCUUCCAUGGUGUAUGUGCUACUUCCAUUCUUGUCGUUGCAACUUUCAGCAUUGAAAUCCCUCUCACAGCCAGAAGUCCAAUUUCCCUGGGUAACAAACUCAAAUCCAGGAAGACAAGUACAUUCAGCUUCCUUACCCUCCAUAACACAAUAUCCAUUAAGACCACAUGAUCCUUUCGGGUCACACUUGUUGCUUGUGGAAGACCACACAGCUGACCAGUUUCCAUUCCGUGUCAGAUUUCGUGAAUAUAAUCUGAGAAUCCCGUCAGCAUCAAGUUUCAUCAUCUUAAUUGUUUCUUUCGUGGGAUAUCCUACAGCUGUAAAGUUUCUUAUGUUGAAACCUGUGGAAUUGAGCAG
rnacentral:lncRNA from 1 species